GAAAUUAUCAUUAACAUAUGCUAACAUAUCUGAAAUCUUCAAAAGUUUGUUUGUGUAGCAAUCCAAUCUAUUUUAUCAAAGACAGAAAAACUUAUGUUCAAGCAGAACAAUCAAAAGGGAAAGUAAAUGCCCCAAUUUUGAGCUAGCACCAAUAAAUUGAAGAUGUACAUUAUUGACAAGCCUAGAACAAUGUCAGCUUGAAAAGAAGCAGAUAAAAGCACACAUUUAGACAAGAGAAACUUACAAACUACCUCAGUUUUUGUGCUGCAUCCUACCACUUUCUGCACCGGCAUAGGGAUCAAUAGUAACAUUUAUUACAGCUGGCUUUCGUGCAGCAAACGAUUCAGAAAGGGCUGACUUGAGUUCCUCUGGUGUCCCAACUAAAUAUCCUUUUCCCCUAAAAGCUUCCAUGAGCUUAUGAUAAGCUGCACCAGGUACAAAAGAAGUAGGUGCAGGAUCAUCUUUGAAAGGCCCUGCAAUUUCUUCAGGGUUUCUGCGAUCUCCACCAUACACACCACCAUUAUUAAAAACUAUCACGACAACAGGCAACUGAUAUCGAACCAAUGUCUGCAAAAUUAGAAGAAACAGAGACCACAUUAGUCUCUUUUUCUUCUCCCACCUUUUUCCAUUUAUUGGAUGAGGAUAUGCUAUAUGUAUGAAUCAACUUUGGACUUGGACAAAGUAAAAUUCAUUUAUUCCAUUAAUUGAUUAACAUUUUUCCUUAAAGAUAAUCAAUCUUCUAACUAUACAGAUACGCAAACAUCCAAGUGCAAGCAUGUCACAAGCACAAAUUCUCAUUUUUCAUUCAGAAGGAAAGUGAAAAAGAGGGGGAAAAAAGCAUGGAAGGUAUCUACAAUGAAAAACCCUCAUCUAAGUCUCACAUCAAUGAAGAAUGCAAUAGAAGAAAUCUUUCCACUAAAUACAGAAAGAUGCACCAAGAACUACCCUUCUGAAAGCAAGGCAGCAAUUAAGCAAGUUCGGAUUAGCUAAAACUAAAUCCGACAGUGGCCAUAUAGCAUUUGAUAAUUACAAGACUACUCAUUCACUAGAAUAGAACCAGCAUCAAAAGAAACUCAAAUAUCCAAAUCAUAAGAAAAUUAAGGAUAUAUUGAGAAAAGGAAGACACAGGGGAUAAAAGCCAUUUAGGAACCGUACCAUCAACUAUCGAUCCCUGACAAAAAAGAAAUGAGCUAGGAAACUAGAUAAAGUAAAACCUAAACAGUAUGUCCUAAAAUCAAGAAGCCAGACUGCCUGUAAUGAGCAAGUGAAGUUUUCCAAAUUUGUGACCAUCAUCCCAGUAAAUAACGAAAUGCUUUAGAAAGCAUGAUAAAUGAUGAACAUAAUUUAUAUACGUAUUUUACCUUUAAUUAUAUAAUUAUUAUUUAUUUUUAUUAGUUAUUUUUAAUUAAUUGAAUUAUUUUAUUGCAUAGGGAAUUAAUUGGAGAUUGGGAAAUAAAAAGUGCAUAAAGAAUAACAAGUUUGGAAAAGCAUCAAUCAAAGCCGUGACACAAUUAAGAGUUUAUAGCAUAUGAAAUCAAGAGUAAUUUGCACUCAAAAAGAAUUUCAAUUAUUCAAGUGACCUGGACGUGCAUGGCAUUGUAAUGCAUGGAAAGCAACUUGCUGAUAGGUCAAUGAAAAUACCUCGUGGUAUUAUAGAUGAUGUCUUGAUAAAGAUUGACAAAUUUUAUUAUCCUAUUGAUUUUAUUGUUAUUGAUACUCAGCAUGUACAGGAUCCUAAGAAACACACCCCAGUUAUUCUAGGUCGUCCUUUCUUAGCUACAGCCGAUGCUCAUAUUAGUUGCAGGACUGGAAACAUGCAAUUGUCUUUUGGUAACAUGACCAUGGAAUUAAAUAUUUUUAAUGUUCCCAAGCAGGCACAAGAAGAUGAUGAAGUCGUUGAAGUAGAUAUGAUAGAAGCAUCAAUUGAUGAUGCACUUAUUUCUAACCACUGUGACAAUCCAUUAACAUCAUGCACAACUAACUCUGAUUUCUCUGUUGAUGUUGACAGUGGUAUUGAAGAAGUUAAUGCUUUACUCGAUUCGACUCUUAUUAUAGAUCUAAUUAAGUGAAAAGAAAAGAUUGAGCCACUUCCUCCUGAAGAAAAAAUUGAACCAUUCAAGUUGGAGUUACUUCCUAAAAAAGUGCAACAUAGGUCACAUUCUGACAUGAAAAAGGUGGUAAGAUCUAAAGUGCUUAAAUUAUUAGAUUUUUAUACUACUUCAGAUAACUCUCAAGAGAGCAUGAAACAGAAGAGAUCAAGGCAGUACGAUAUUGAGGAGUUUCAUUACCAUAAUCUUUUUAUAGAUAAAAUGCUGCUUAGUCAAUUAUGUUUUCUGGCAUUUUCUAUAUAAUUGCUUUGGUUUUCAUCAAAUUCUUAUUGAUCCUGGUUGAUUUGUUGUUUACAUUAAUUUGUUAGUUAAUAUGAUUUUUUUUUUCAUUAUUUAUAUUUCUUCUAAAGUUUUCUUUUUAGUUGUCAUUUUUUUAAAGCUUUCUCAGCCCAUCAAAGUGUGUUCUCUCCAACUUUCUUUUUAUUAUUUAUUUAUUUUUUUUCCAUUGUUUACAUGCAUAUCUUUUGUUUGUGAAACAUUGAGGAUAAUGUUCUGAAUAAGUUUGGGGGUGGGAAUAGUGUGUGCUUUGUUUGUUAAAAAAAAAAAAUUGUUGUUUUUUGUUUUUAUGUGAAAAGCCAAUAAUAAGAAUUUGAUUGACAAUGAAUAUGGUUCUUAGAAAGGGUUGAAUAUUGUCUUAGUUUAUACUUGAUUCUUGUGUUAGUUCCUCUUAAUUGAGAUUCUUUAUACAUCAUGAGCACUAAUAUCAGUUCUUUUGUAAUUUUGUCUUGAAAUUUGAGAUUGACGCAGCCUGAGUUGAGAAUUUUAGAUAGAGUAAAUGACUAUUUGUCUUGAUUCUUAUCUCCACAAUACAAAUUAGUAUACACAGGCGCCGAAGUCAGAAAUAGCUACCUAUAACCCUUAAGAGUGAAGUUAUCCUUGAGUAAUUUAGGCCUAUGUACCACAAGUAUGUAGAAGAUAAUCUACCAUGAGAAGAAUACUACCUUAAGGGGUAGAGUGAAAGCUCCUGACUAUGGUUAAAAAAAAAAGAAGAGAAAAAGAAACAAAAAAAAAAUCAAGUGCAUGUGCUGAAAAAAAAAAUUAAAAGAAAAUGCACAUAAAAGCCUGUGAAAAAAAAAUUAGAGAUUAAGAUGAUAAAAUUAGUUUGACCUACUUUUUUUUUUUUGUUUUGAGGCAAAGGCUGUUGAUAUUGAAGAUUUUAGGAAUGAAUUUGAUUGAAUUGAUUUCACACACACACACUACAAGAAUCGAAAGAGAGAUGAGAUUGAUUAUUGAAUUAAAGUUAGAACUUUGCCAAUAUUUGAAAUUUUCUUUGAGCUAUAUAAUUUUUGCAAUCUUUGAGGCUAUUUUUCAUGUUUUAUCUAAAGUUUUUUUUUUAAAAUUUAAUUUAAUUUUUUUUAAAAAAAUGAUGUUUGUGGGUAUCAUCACUGAAGCCCUCAUGAGACUACAACUCAUCCACUAGGGCCGCCUAAGGGUUUAAAGGCUUGUUGCAUACGCUAAAUGCAAUCGUGAUUACCUGCGAAAGUGGUUUAGUUAGGAUUUACUUUUUGUUUCAUUAUUUUUAUUUUUAUUUUAGUUUUAGUUUUAGUUUUGCUCGAGGACUAGCAAAAUCUAAGUUUGGGGGUAUUUGAUGAACAUAAUUUAUAUACGUAUUUUACCUUUAAUUAUAUAAUUAUUAGUUAUUUUUAAUUAAUUGAAUUAUUUUAUUGCGUAGGGAAUUAAUUGGAGAUUGGGAAAUAAAAAGUGCAUAAAGAAUAACAAAUUUGGAAAAGCAUCAAUCAAAGCCGUGACACAAUUAAGAGUUUAUAGCAUAUGAAAUCAAGAGUGGUUUGCACUCAAAAAGAAUUUCAAUUAUUCAAGUGACCUGGACGUGCAUGGCAUUGUAAUGCAUGGAAAGCAACUUAAAGGAGCCCACACUUGGCUUUUACAAUUGGAAAACUAGUGCAAGCUUAAUUGGUGAUCACGUGUGAGAGCUAAAGCAAAUAAAAGGACAAGCCUUUUGGCUUUAGGAUUUAAGAGGUGGGGCCCAUUUCAAAGAUUAUAAAAGUAAGCUUUUGGCUUUUGGAGAAGGGAGCUGCUAGAGGAAGAAAGAAGCAGCCGCGGGACGAAGAGCAGUAGCAGUAGUUCGGUUUCCAUGGCUAGUUUUAUUUAUUUUAUUGCUCUCAAUUCAAGUAUGUCUAACUAAUUUUCUUAUACUGAGUUUAAGGAUGAAACCAUAUUCAAUGAAAUAAUUAUUUUUUUAUUUAAUUAAUUCCCUAUAUAUGUUCUUUGAUGAUUAUGGUUUUUAUUUCACAUGAUUAAUUGGAUAUUAAUAAAAUCUUUUCAUCAAUUCUGUCAUGCAUUAUUGAUUGUUAGGAUUAAUAUUCGAUUAAAUCUAUGCUUAGAUUUAUAAAGUUUAUACAUGAUUAUUUUUUAUUCUAUGUCUUUCAUUAAAUUGUUUACAUGGAGUGCUUAAGAAACUUUGACUCUUUGUCAUUCCAUAUGUUUACAUGGGAUGCUUAGAUGUCAUAUUAUUAAGCAGAAAAAGAACCUACAUUAGAUUUAAUUACUUGGGCUUAAUUGUUAUAUCCAUGAGAUGACAUAAAUUGAUUUCGAGUUGUCACUCUAAAAUUGGGAAUUAAUGAAUAUUUAGUUAAUUAUUAGUUGAAUAGUGGUGAAUUCUGAAACCUUGGUAAUUCUUAUCUUAUUUAAUUCUCCUUUAUUUUAAUUGCUUCCUUAGUUUAAUUAGUUUGAUUUCUCUUAAAACUCAAUUUGGUCAACUAGGUUAAGAUAAAUAUUAAUUUUGGAUUUAAAUUAGACUUUUCAAUUUAUAACAAUCCCUGUGGGAUCGACCUCGUUACCACUAUUCUAUCUCUAGAUUCGUGCGCUUGCGAGUACAUUAAAAUUUUCACAACAAUAAAGUUGAUGCUGGCACUCAAAGCUUUAAACAAGCAAGAUUUGACUUCCCAAACUAAGGUAGUCAGUCUCUCCCAUCAAAUAGAGAAGGAUCCUAGUUCAAGCUGAUGAUCAAAACUUAAAUUUGCCUAUAUCCACUUGAAACUGCAUCAGCCUUCAAAUUCUUCAAAAGUUAUUACCAUAGGAAGACAACUCACAAAUGUCCUAAAUCUUUAAAAUCUAAUAUUAGACCAUUGGAGAUGUGCUGCAGAUUUCAAGAUUAAAGCGAAAGUAGAAUAAAAUGGAACGCUAAAGAGAAUCUUAAAAUAACAAAAUAAUCAUAAAUGACUAGCAAUUUGCAUCAUGUUUGUUGAUGAAUUAAGGAAGUCAAGCAUGAUGUACAAGUUUGUUCUUGUGAAUAAAAUGUAUGCAUAAAUAUCGUUAUAUGCUAGAGAUCAUAAUUAUGCAAGAGAGCCAUACCUCAACCUCAACCGCACUGAACCCAAAUCCAGAGUCUCCUUCAACAGCAACCACAAGCCGUUCAGGGCAAGCUAUUGCAGCAGCAAUGCAAUACCCUAAACCAACCCCCAUGGUCCCCAAGUCCCUGCAUCCAGCCUACAACGAGGCUCAGUUUGAACCAAUACUGCCCUACCCACAUCCAUAGUAUUUGCCCUUCAGAUACCAAUAUAGGAGCGGGGCUCCCGACUCCUAAGAUCGCAUCUCUUAUAAUCCUCAUUGGCGUCAUGAAAUUAAACGGCACAACAUCCUUCACCAACUGAACCUCCAUUUUCAACACAUUGUCCUUCGUUUUCUUCCAAAUAGCCUCAACCCAAGGAUGAUUUUUCCCCAAACAAAAAGGUUCAUCUUUAAUCUCCUUAUUAAUCAUUUCCAACACUUUUUUAGCAUCUCCAACCAAACCCAAGUGUGGUUUCCUUAACUCAAUCUCUUCCUUGCAAACAUCAACCAAAACAAACUUCACAUCCUUCGACCACUUCGGUGGCUCACCAAAAUGCAACAACCAAUUAAGCCUCGCACCAACAACAAGCGCAACAUCACAUUGACCUAUGGCUAAUGACCUCGCAGCGGUAGCAGCAAGCGGAUGGGUAUCAGGCAACAGACCUUUACCCAUUGGAGUAGGCAAAAAUGGAAUCCCAGUACUUUCAACUAAUUUCUUCAAUUCACCCUCAGCUCGCGCAUAAGCUGCGCCUUUCCCAAACACAAUCAACGGCUUCUUUGCUUCUUUAAGCAAAGACACCGCUUUAUCGAUAUCAGAAUUCACAAUCCCCCCUUGCGUCACCGUUUCUUUGGCACUCUCCGCUUCCUUCAGAAGCUUCUCCGCUUCAGAUACCGAUAUCGUUUGAUGUAAAACAUCAGUGGGUAGAUCCAAAUAACACCCGCCGGGCCGCCCCGAAACAGCCCGUUCAAGAACCUGAGCGACACACUUGGGAACUUCCGUAAUGUCCUUCGCUUUUACAGCAAAUUUCGAAAAAGGCUUGACGGCUUCCACUUGGUCGAGUUCUUGAAAAUCGCCGCGGCCAAAAUCUUUCUGAUCGCACGAGCCGGAUAUCAUGACGAUUGGCCACGUGUUAAUCAUCCCAUUCGAGAGACCAGCCAGACCGUGCACGCAACCCGGACCGGAAACAGUUAACAGAAUGCCGGGUUUUCCAGUCAGGUAUCCGUAGGCGGAGGCGGCGUAGCCAGCGGACUGCUCAUUGUGGAAGGCGAUGAACCGGACGCCAAGCUGGACGGCCCGGUUCGCUAAGGAAGUAACGGGAAUGCCCACCACGCCGAACAUGUGGGUGGCACCGAAUAGUGACAAGGAUUUGGCAGCCAGGGUAUUGCCGUCGAUCUGGGCAUUUUGGGAAUUUUGCAACUCCGAACCCGCCAUUGCUUGCUAGAUGUGUGUGUUUGUGCUAAUUAGGGAUGGCAAAAAUGCCACGCGAUGAGUAUUUUUGGGAAUUUUUUCUAUUUAAAAAAGAUAUGAAAAUAAUUUUAUAUUUAAUUUUUUAUUUGGAAAAAGGGAUAAAAAAAUUUUUUUUACUUAAUUUCUUAUUCGGGGAGGGGAUGAGGAUGAGGUGGAAUCUCCAUCCCCUAUCCAUUUCCUUAUUUUUAUUUUUAAUUUAAUUUUUUAUUUUUUAAAAUUACUAAUAAAUAAAUUAUAAAAUUAUAAGUAUUGGUAAAAAUAAAAAAUAUUAAAAUAUUUAUAUUAUUAAAUUUUUAGGCCUAAUUAAUUAAUUAAAGUGUUAAAUUUUUAUUUAGGACAUUAAAAAAAUCGGACAGAUUCUAUUAGCUCAAAACUUUUAUUUUAAUUUUAAUAUUCAUUAAAUAUUUUAAACUUAAAUCUAUUUUUUAUUUAUCUUAAAUCUAUUUUUUAUUUAUUUUUAGAUGUUAUAAUUACCCACAGCAAAUCACAAUUUUAAUAUCUAAUAUAAUCUAAUAUUUACUCUUGAUUUGCUCGACUUAACUAUUGUGUUGUAAAAGGAAUAGUCCACAUUUAUAAAGUGCUCACGCCACCAUUUAAAAGUUAAUUUUGAAUCUGAAUUUAAUUUUAUUUGUAAUAAUUUUGUAUUAGGCUAUUAAUUUAUUCAUGAUAGUUUGUAAUUCUUUAUGUAUUUUAUUUGAAAAUAAAGAAAUUAAGAAAUUGAAAUAAAAAAAAUGAUUUUAAUAUAGUCUUCUCAUGCUAAUGGAGAAGAUGGAUGAGGCAUUGGAGGAAGCAAAUUUGAUAUUGAGUUCAAUUGAAUUGAUCACCAUAAAGACAUGGUUUGUUAUGGACGGUUACUUUUGUUUUUUUUUGUGGCAAAUGCGACCAAAAUGGGUAGCUUCACCCAUAAAACGACAUAACUGAGUAGUAGGUAUAGCUACAAUGCUUUCCCGAUUAUCAUUAUAUUUUUCUCUGUAGUUAUAAAUAAAGGUGACAAUUUGUUUCCAAAAGUAUCGUUAUUAAUCCUCAUCCGUUGAAUUAUAACACGUAAUUAUUACUUGGGAUGAUAUUGCUUUAUCGGAAUGAAGGAACGUAAUAACUUAAAAAAAAAAAUACAUAUGAUAUAUAAGAGCAUCAUUAGAAAAUUCUUUUAAUUUAAUUUUUUAAGAAUUUAUUUAUUUAUAUAUGUUAUAAAUAGAAGAGAGAAAAUAUCAUUUUUCAUAAGACUUUUCAAAUAAAAAUAAAUUUAUAUUAUUUUACUCAAAUUUUUUCUUUCAUUAAAAUAAUAACAAUUAUAACCAUUCCCUCUCUUUAAAAGUAAUGAAAUAAAAAAUAAUAUAGUACGAAAUUAAGUGUUCUAAAAGACUCUCUAAAUAAUUUAAAAAAAAAAUUCAAUAUGGACAAUUUUAUUUAAAAAUUAUUUUAAAACUCUUUUUAUUAACAUAACUCUUCAAAUAAAUAGUAAAUUUUCAUUUAAAAAACUUUUUAAAAAUGUCUAUAAUCGAGAAAAAAAAUAUUAACAACAAGGGUUCAGAUAUGUUGGAGUUCACCUACGGUGGAGAACGAAUCUCAGCCACAUACACAAAAUGAUAAAGAAUAAAUAAUGAGUUAUAAUGAGUUUUUUAAUAUUUAUUACUUUGUGUGUGUGGUUGAGAUUCGUGCUCCACUGUAAGUGAACCCUAACAUAGUCAUAACCUAACAACAACUACCAAAUCAAAUCUUUGAGCACAUGAUUUUAUAUGGGCUUCUACAAAUUGUGGACAUCCAUAAAUAAAUUAGAGUUCAUAAUCGAUUCUUGCUGUGACAGAUUCUGUUUAAUUUUUAAUUUAGAAUUUCUCAGUUACAAUUUACAACUCGUAUAUUCCUAUACAUGAAUUGCAAUGCCUUGGAUGCUUGUGUUGAAAUAUGAUGCAACCGAAGCAUGUGACGUUGUAUGACAUGUCAUGUAUAACGAAAAAAAUGUACGACUUGUCAUCCUUAAACUAAAAGACACGUAUGACAAUCAAAAACGGUUAUCUCCAAUUUAUAUUUCCAAUUACAAUAGUCAUUGAUUCAGUGAUCAGCAAAGUUAAAUCCUAGUUCUAAUAAUAUACUCAGGGUUUUUUUUUUUAUUUUGUCUUUUUAGGAAAAAAAAUUUGACUAACAGUCAUCAAGAUUGACUAACAGAUAUUACUUGACAACAAAUAAAGAAACUACUGCUCAAGAGACACUUUCAACAACGCAUAGACGUGAGGUAAAUAACAAGAGUGAAGAGAUGCUUAAUUGAUUGAUAAUCGAAGUUCGAAGCCUCAGUGUGCUAACAAGCAGUAAAGUCAACAACAUGAAGCUAUAAAUGGCAAACGUUAAUGCUCAUGAUGACAUCCAAAUCAAGUUCAGAAUCGUUGAACAUUUGAAAACAAUCACAACAGAAAGCUAUAAAUGGAAAAAGUAUGGAGGUGCCACUAUUGCCUGAGAGGGAAGAAGAGAGGAAAUAGAUGGUGGUGGUGCUACCACGGCUAGCCUUUUUGGAAGAGCUGAAGACGUUGAGCUUCUUAUCAACGCCGCCGGCAGGGGUGGCCUGUUUUCGGUUCUUUUUGCUGGCUACAGCAACGAUGAUGGUGGGACACCUUGGAAAACUUUCACUUGAUAGUAUUGCCAUUGCUAACUCCUUAAUUAAUGUCAUCGGCUUCAUUCCACUUGUAAUAUUUUCUUCAUUCCCUUUUCUUUUUACCAUUAGAAAACUGCUUUACUUCUUCUUCUUCUUUGUUUCACAUCAAAGCAUGCUUCGUUUAUUUAAUCUAAUGACACUGCUUUGUAUGCCUUUUGUUUUGUAGCAAGUUAACAAUUUGCUUGUGCUCGCUAGAAAAUUGUUUAAAUGACUCAAUAUAAUCCACAUAGCAAUAAUAUAACAAUAGCUAUUUUUAAAUCCAGAUCAACGACAAGCAACCACAACUAUAUGGUUAAACAAGUUAAAUCAAGCUCGUUUAGCUAUAAUAAGCAAUCAACUUUAGAACUUUAGCUUGACUUUCAUAGGUGAGAAUACCAAACAGGUCUAUUUUGACUAGGCUAAGAUCAACAAAUUAAUAAACUUUGAUUAAUUAUUGGCGAAGAAUUAAUCAAUAUUACUUGGAAGAUAUUAAGAAACUUUGUUCACCUUUUCUGUCACUGGUCCAAAUAAUUUAUGAAGUACUUUUUUAGCCUUUUUUUUUUUUUUGGAAAGGUAGUACUUUUUGAGCUUGAACAAGCAUUAUUAUAACUGAUCUUAGUUUGCUCCAUAUUUUCCAUGCUACCGCUGUUUACAUAAAACGGAUUUUGGGAGAAUAGCAUAUAUUUCAUCAAUAAUCAAUUGAGACUGUUUAAGAUUAGCCUACAAAAUGAUAUCUAAUGUGGACAAUACCAUUAAAUUUCUAGCAGUUUGAUUUUGCCUGUGCAAUAGAGACUCUGUGGACAAGCUCAUGGAGCAGAGCAAUAUCAAAAGAUUGGAACCUAUACCUACCCUGCUAUGUUCUUUUGCAUUGCAAUUUGUAUCCCCAUCUCUGUUCUUUGGAUAUUCAUGGACAAAGUACUAAUACUGCUAGGCCAAGACCCUGAUUUUUUUGUCGAAGCCUGCAAUUACGCAAUUUGGCUCAUACUGACAUUAUUUGGCUAUGCUAUUCUUCGAUCACUAUCUCACAAUCUCCAGGCUCAGAGCUUGAUUCUGGCAUUGUUCUUAAGCUCAUGUGCAACUCUUUGUUUGCAAAUUCUUCUUUGUUGGGUUCUAGUAUCUAAAACAGACUUUGGAAAUACAGGAGCAGAAUUAACCAUAGGUAUUUCUUAUUGGUUCAAUGUGAUCAUCCUUGCACUUUACAUGGGAUAGAACUCACACGGUGAUCAUCAAGGAAAUUUUCCCUAGCACGAAGGAGUUUUCCUUCUUUGCACACCUUUCAGUUGUAAUGUUUUGGUAAUUUGCCUAUCGUACUUUGCAAUGUUUUUGUUAGUUUUCUGUUCUUAUAAAUUGACUUACAGUGUGCCUUUUGUUUCCAAUAACUAAAGUCUCGAAUGGUGUUCAUAUGAGAUUCUGGUACUGCUGUCUGGAAUAUUACCAAAUCCAAAACUUGAAACAUCAGUUCUUACAAUAUGGUACGUAUCUACACUUACAGUUUUGACUUUUGAGUAAACGGGAAAAAUUCUCAGUAGGGUUGAAUUGAUUUCCUUUGCUCUUCAUAUGCAGCUUUACAAUCCAGUCAACACACCAUUUUAUGCCAUUUGGUAUUAGUGCUACCGCAAUGUUUGAUCUAUAUGUUGUUUCAAAAGCAUGCACUUACGAGUAAAUGAAAUAAUUCAUUACCUACUAGUUAAAAAAACCCUGAUUAAUUCUGUAUACUGAGCUGUAUCGCAAUCCACCGUUUUGCAGCACUCGAGUGGCAAAUGAAUUAGGAGCUGGAAAUCCAGAACCAACUCGAUUGUCUACAUGUGUCGUGAUAUUUCUUGCAGUUGCAGAGGCAGCCAUAGGGAGCGUAGCUCUAUUCUGCUGCCGCAAUGUUUUGGCAUAUUUGUUCAACACUGACAAGGACGUUGUGAAUUAUGUGUCUGAAUUAGUUCCUGCUUAGCACUGCCAUUUUCAUGGACAGCAUGCAAUCAGUACUUUCCGGUCAGAAUCCCAUCAUUCUGUCAGGACUUUUAUUUUCACUCUUUUCACUCAGCUAGUGCUUCAGAGCUUGAAAAAGAUUAGAUGAUUUAUUUCUCACCAAUCACUUUCCUUAUCACGAGUAGCUAGAGUAAUUGGGUGACAGCACAUAGGAGCUUAUUUAAAUCUCGGUGCAUUUUAUCUUGUUGGAAUUCCAGUAGCAUCUGUACUAUGUUUUGUUCUUCAUCUUAGAACAAAAGGCCUUUUGCUCGGAUUAAUCAUUAAUGCCAGGCUCAACUGUCGCAAUUGCGCUUGCCAUCGUUACUUCUUUAACAAAUUGGGAAAAACAGGUUUCUAUUUCAUUUCACUCUUUUUUCAAAUUAUCUGCUUCUUCAGUAGUGAAUUAUCCUUUAAUUUUGCUGGCUGACAUUGAUCUUUCAUGUGGAUAUCUUUCCAGGCUACCUUGGCCAGAGAGAGAAUACUUAAGGGAGCAUCUUCAACUGAUAAUAGAUCGGUUCGAUGCAAAACGUAAUUAAACAUUUUGUUUCCAUCGUAUCAAAAUUUCUUAGGAUGUGAGCUGCGAGUAUAUACUGUUACAAAACCAAGACUAAUUUUGGACAAUGCUAUUGUUGUGGCAAUUAAUUUAUCGAACACUUGGUGUGCAGAAGCAAACCCAAGAAUUUUAAGAGCAAACAAUGUGCAAAUCACCAAUACAAUCAAUUUUGUGAAAUUGAUUCACAAGGCUACGUCCUCGAAUAAUUCCUAGAUUUACCAUGAAAUUUUACAUUUAAAAGAAGUAUGAUAAACAUCCUUUAUUUUAAAAUACACAGAUUUUGUGAAUUCUUUCAUGAUUUGAAUUCUCGUAGUCACAAUUCGUAAUGGCGAUGGUUAUUAAUAUAUAAAAAUGUAAUGAUGAGUAUAGUUUAAUCCCAACCAUUAUUUGUGACAAAAACUUGAUGCAAGAUCUUAGACUCUUAGUUCGAAACGAAUAAAUGUUUUAAACCUCAGUCGCCUGAUGGAUCAUUGCCUUUGGCAUGAAUAUAGGCAUGUGUUCAGUUACAAUGGCGAAACAUUGGGGUUUUUAUCAAGGAUUGUGCAUGGCCUGGCAGCAAGGAUGUCGUUGCAUAUCUGUUGAAGUGGAUAGCCUUUGUGUCACACAACUAGUCUCAAAUCCAGUGGCUCACACAUAUGAAUAUGGCCCUCUCCUUCAAGCCAUAAAGGAUCUCAUCAAGCAAGAUUGGCACAUCACCGUUCAACAUGUUUAUCGUGAAGCAAAUCAUGCUGCUGAUUUCUUGGUGAAUUAUGCUCUCUCUGCUCCUUUGGGCUUUGAUAUUUUCCAUAACCCCCUCCUGAUUUGGCUUCUAUUAUCAUUCAUUACAUGCAUGAGAGUAGCUUAUCCGUCUAAUUUUAUUUUAUCUCUUUUUAGAGCCCCUUUGUAUUGAAAAAAAAAAAAGACUUGUACAAACUAAACAUAGUCAAUUUCUAUCUUAAAUAAUCACAUUUAAGAUGGUUUAUGUGUUGAUCAAAUACUUGUUUAGGCUUUCAAACCAUAUAUGUUGAUCAAAUACACUGAGGCUCCGUUUGGUACAGCUUAUUAAAUAGAGCUUAUAACAGUAGAGUUUAUAGCAGUAGAACUUAUACUAAUAGAGUUUUUGGACAAAAAGUCAUUGGGUGUUUGGUUGUCAAUAAAAAAAGUACUUUUGAACCAUUAAACUGUGUGAUAUUUUUUUAUUAUAUAUUUUUAGAAAAGCUCUCUAACCUCUACUCUCAAAAGCUCAAAUUUUGGGCUUUUGCUAGUAGAGGUAAAUUAGCUUAUUUAAGCUAAAAAAACUCUACUAAAAAAAAACCAAACACCAUAAAAUUUUUUAAAAAGUACUUAUACGAUUAAAUAAGCACUUAUACCUCUUAAAUAAGCCAUACCAAAUAGGCACUGAGUAUGAAAUGUGGAUUGCAAAACAACUAAGGCAAAAUAGUCCCCAAAUAAUUAAAACAGGUUAAUUUCCACAACUGACAAAUAGAAGUGUCGUACAUUUUUCUAAGAGCGUGUCUUAAUCGUGCCGAUUAACAUCUAAAAUGUCUUUGUUAUUAGUCGAUUACUACUAGCUAUUAUUUUUAUUAUUAUAACAGUUACAACGAAAACAUCGUCGAGAUAUUUCAUACAUCUCAGUUCUCACCCCAUUUUCAUGCACAAAUAAAUUGAAAAAGAAAAAUCACUUAUGAAUGAUGAGAAUCGAGACUCUUGCAACAUAUCUACAUGGUAUAUUUUAACCAGGCACUGAGUGUAGCUAGGGACUAAUGAAAAUAUUGUAGCAGAGCUACCAAACUUGAGUAAUACGAAUUCAAAGUUGUUAGAUGACAUGGCAGCACACUUGGCAUUCAUUGGGGUUUUGGAAAGUUAAAGUGAUCAACCUUAUCUCUUAGCUUAUCAUUACUUCAAGCUUUACUUUCGUAUUUAUCAAGAUCAAGGUAAAGAUAACAAUUAUGCUAGGCUUGAUCUUAUUCUUGGCAUGAUCGUGUUUCCUGUAGAGCACUAUAAAUGUAAUGAUUAUGACUUAUGAGGUGAAUAAAAUAACAAAAAGGUGCUUUGUUUCUUCUUCAAGCCCAUCUUUAUAAUUUAAGUGGGACAACAUGCGAUGGUCAGCCUCUUGCAACAUACCUAAACUUCAGUAUGAUUGGUAAUCAACAAAAGUACUCAAGAGAAGCAUCUUUAUCCGAAUUAAAGAGAUCCAGUCUAUCAUUUAUUGUUGUAUUAUUAGCAUACAAUUAUUACCAGAGAAUACAAGCAUAUGGAGGUUCUGCCCGAGGUUGAGAAAGAAGAAGAGAAGAAGAAAUGGGCGGUAACACGGCGAGCGUUUGUGCAAGAGCUGAAGAAGGUGAGCUUCUUGGCAGCGCCUCUUGCCGGGGUAACUGUUUUUCAGUUGCUUUUGCCGGCUGUAUCAACGAUGAUGGUGGGACACCUUGGAAAACUUUCGCUUGCUAGCAUUACCAUCGCCACCUGUCUCACCAAUGUCACUGGCUUCAUUCCACUCGUAAUUUAUUUUUCUUAAUUUUUACCAUUAAAAUGCCCUUCUAUCUCUGGCUUUACUUUUGAUUCUCUUUUCCUUUCUUUACUUUAGCUUGACUUUCAUCGGUGAUCAUAGCAAUCAAUUUGAUAAAAUAGUAAGGGUAUAACAAAGGUUUUUCAUCAAACAAACAGUUUUAUAUACGUAUUUAGCUUAAAAGCUAUAGCUGCUAGGAAGCAAUACCAAAAGGAGUCUGAAUAAUUCGCCAUACCAUUUCACUCACCAGAACAAAUAAUAUUUUCAUGUUCUGCUUGAGUUUGAACAAGAAUUAUAUUCUAACUAACCAUUUUGGUGUGCUACUGUACUUAACCAGAUUUGCGAGAAUUGCUUAUAUAUUUCUUCAUUAUUUCAAUAUGUUAAGAUUAGCCUGCAACAUGAUAUCUUAGUAUUUGUGUUUCUGAAUCAGGUACAAACUUGUCAAAUACAUGUAUAAUGUUGACGUUAACUUUAAAUUUUGAACAGUUUGGUUUUGCCUGUGCAUUAGAGACUCUAUCUGGACAAGCUUAUGGCGCAGAACAAUAUCAAAAGAUUGGGACGUAUACCUACUCUGCUAUGUUCUUUUGCAUUGCAAUAUGUCUCCCAAUCUCUGUUCUUUGGAUAUUCAUGGACAAAAUAUUAAUGCUGCUACACCAAAACCCUCAGAUUUCUGUUGAAGCCCGCAAUUAUGCAAUCUGGCUUAUACCAGCAUUAUUCGGCUAUGCGAUUAUUCGAUCACUGUGUCACAAUCUCUAGGCUCAGAGCUUGAUUCUAACAUUGUUCUUAAGCUCAUGUGCAACUCUAUGUUUGCAUAUUCUUCUUUGUUGGGUUCUAGUGUUUAAAGCCGACUUUGGAAAUACAGGAGCAGCAUUAUCCAUUAGUAUAUCUUAUUGGUUCAAUGUGAUCAUCCUUGCUCUUUACAUGAGACACUCUCCAUCGUGUACAAAAACUCGCACUUUGAUCUCCAAGGAAAUUUUGCCUUGCAUGAAGGAGUUUACCUCCUUCGCUCUCCCCUCGGUUUUCAUGUUUUGGUAUAAUUUGUCAAUCUCACUUUGCAAUGUUAUUGUUAGUUUCUGUUAUUAUUGGUUUACUUACAGCGUGCUGUUUCGUUCCCAAUAAUUAUAGUCUUGAAUGGUGGUUCUAUGAGAUUCUGAUAUUACUGUCGGGACUUUUACCAAACCCCAAACUUGAAACAUCAGUUAUAUCUAUAUGGUACACUUUUGACAUCACUUGUGGUUUGCUUUUGGAGAAUUUUUUGGGGAAACUCUCAGUAGGGUUGAAUUGAUUUUAUGGUAGACUCAGGCUCAACCGUACAAGCAGUUGCGCUUGCCGUCGUUACUUCAUUAACCAAUUGGUAAAAACAGGUUACUGUAAUUCAUUUUUACUUUUGUUCUAUGUGUUUGUUUCUUUGACAAUAUAUUAAUCAUCCUCUAAUCUGUUGGCUGACACUGAAUUUUUGCAUAAUUUCAUGUGGAUAUUUUUCCAGGCAACCAUGGUCAGGAAAGAAUAUUGGAGGGAGCACCUUCUACUAAAAAUCCAUCGGUUUGAUCCACCUAGGCUAGUAAUUAAUUACCCUGUUUUGUUUUUCAUUGUAACAAAUUACAUUCUCGAGACGAGAGCUGUAAAAUUUAAUAGUGCUGGCGUUCUGGCAAGCACCGGAUGACAAUUAUCAAACAGCUGGUGCGCAGAAGCAAAUAAACCCAACAAUGAGAGCUAAUUUUUUAUAACAGCUAGUCAGCUACCACAAACAAUUUUUUUUUCUUCAUAAUAAACUUCAGAAGAGAGAGAGAGGGGGGUAAAAAGCUAUAAUAAUAAUUAAAAAAAAACUUAGAAAUAACUCCUAAUAAUAAUAAUAAUAAUAAUAAUAAUGAUAAUAAUAAUAAUAAUAAUAGUCAGGUGGAUCAUAGUACGCCACUACGCCUUAUAAUUCGUAAUAAAAGUAUACUGUUGAUGCGAGAUUCUGGUUACCCUUUUGACCACGACCAGGAUCUCUGCUCAAUCAACUCGACCACGAUCAGGAUAUCUCCUCUUAAGGAUUCUUCUCCAGAAGUUCCUGCGCACACAAAAACAGGUCAAAGCACGCCGGUUGUUUUCCCGGCGUACCCAACGACGCUCAAGUUAGAAAUGAAGGUUUUGUGUUCCUGGGAACGCUAGCCACAAAUCUUAUGACUUCUUUCUUAUAUUAAUUCUUUAGAGCUCUUUUUAUCUCAGUUCUAUUAUAAAAAAAUCUAACCCUUUUACCUUCGUUGACUGUCUUUUUAUAGGCUCCUCCUGAGUCCAGAUCUUUCCCUCCAUUCAUUCCCGUUACUUUCCCACCUCUCGAAAGUGGAUGCUCCGUUUCCGUAAUCGUGGGUGGUUGCAUGGCCUUCGUGCCUUGAUUCUCAGGUUGGAGAGUACGUCUCGCCAACUGUCGUUGACUAGGUCUCUUCGCCUCAACCCUUAGCAGGAAUGGCUUUAUGCUUCUAACAGGAGACCGGCUUUGCGGAUGGCGUAUUCGUGGACGAGUAGAUAUUCCUGCUCCUGUUCCCCUGCUACCAGACUUCUGCAAGAUAUACCUGUUCGUGGAACCCUACUACCAGACCUCUGCUCAUCACGGCUGGUCUCGUCAAAGUACAUCCCCCAAACACCGGUCCCCCAGUUUCUGGUGUCGGGUAACAUAGUGAGCCAACAGUAGAAACUCGACAGUUCUUGCUCACGCGGGAUAGGAAAAGGCUGCCAAGAGUCGUGUCGCAUUUAAUUGCGGAUGAGGUGAUGUGGCAGAAAUCUACCCCUCCAUUUGAAUUUCAAACCGACGGUUACGAAACCCUAGAAAUUUGUGCCGUUAAAUGCCGGCAGCCCAAGAGUUUGUUCUUCAUUAGGAAAACCCAAAACCCCCAAAAGAGAAACUCGUCUUUUACUCCGUUUCUAUCUCUCCGGCGAAUGAGUCCUUCAUCUCCCUUGGCGUAAAAGCUUCCUUCCUUGUCUCUCUCUGACUAAGUCACAACUUCAGGUAUUAUUUUUUUUUCCUCGGUCAUGGAUAGUUGUAAACAAUUUCUUUUAUAUUUUGCUUGGGUAGUGUUUGGUGGUGUAGUUCUGGUUAUAGUUUAGGGAAUGUCGAAAGGUAAGGAGAAAGUCAUUGAGAUUGAUGACGACGAGUUAAAUUUCUUGCCUAAUCUGCUCGCCGAUUCUGCUUUCGACCCUGGGAUCCCCUUAGACCUAGUGUUGCGACUAGUGCUAAGAGGGUGUCCCCCCAAGUAACCUCCUCAACCGGAAAUAGCGACGACAAGGGUUCUUCUGGUUCGGAAGACACUUUGAGUGAAGAUCAGGGAAAUGAUUCUAGUGAGAUGCCCUCACCAGGAACAUCGCGACCAGAUAGGAGGGGCACAGUAGGAGGUAGAGCUCUAUCGCAGAAUUACGCUAUUGAUUUUAUGACGUGCACGACCAGAGUAGAUGAGCUAGUUAGUCUCCGGGCUAGAUACGGCAUCCCUGAUGAAAUUCCCCUUAGGAUCCCAGGAAAAAAUGAUAGCCCCAGCCGGCCUCCUAGGGUGUAUGUUACUCUGUUUCUAGAGAGUUUUAAACUUGGGCUAAGGUGCCCCAUACAACCCUACUUUGCCCGAAUACUCAAUGGGUUGAAUUUAGCUCCUGGUCAACUGAACUCUAAUGGGUGGCGAGUACUUUCUAGUCUAUUCAUAUUGUGGGACGGAUGUUCGCAAAGCGAGCCAACAGUUGACGAGGUGAAGCACCUGUACUAGCUAAAAAGCAGCCCCAAAGAUGCCGGCUGGUAUUACUUCCAGUCAAGUACCAAGAUCAGGAAACCCAUAACCGAUCUUCCAACUGGUGGUGGUGGGACUUCGAAGAAAAAAUUCUUUUUUGUUAAGGUCUUUGGGGUCAAGUUGCAUAGAUUGACGGGAAGGAUUACCGCGUCCUACCCCGUUUCGUGGUCUCAGGUUGCCUGCUCGCUUCAGAUGUCUUGUCUCUAUAGUCGUUCUCAUUUUGCUGAUUUGAAGCGAGCAGGAUGCUGUACGAACCGAGAGCUGUUAACUACUUUCAACUUGGUCGAAUCUCGUUUGGUGUCUACCGGCCAUAAAAUGGAGGAUGCUGUGAUCGGGGCCCUGACUCGAAAACGUCCUCGACCUCAUGCUACCCAGCAGGACCAGAAUAAAUACGCUCCCACUGCGAAGCGGGUGAACAUUAUGCAGCAGGUUCCUCCCUUGAAGACCCUACCACCUCCUCCUGCCAAAGUCGGAGAAACUAGCGGAGCAGCCACCGAUCCCGCUUCCUCUUCUCCUCCAGUCGGGCCGAGAUCUCGUUUAUCUGACAAUCGAGCAGAGCAUUUGGUCCCCUAUAUCAACGAGUUCUCUAAACUCGUGAGCAAGAGGGACCUGGAGGACUUUGACGGCAGCACCUUGGGUGAGCUGGUGGGGGCCAUGCAAUAAAGCGCUUUCUAUCUCAGCUGCAUGGCCAUUUACUAUAAGGCCAAGGUUGAUCGUUAGGACCGGAAGAUGAAGGAGGACAUUCAAUCGGCCAUGACCAAAGCUAAUGCUGCCGAGAAGAAAGUAGGGGACUUGAAUCUCGAGAAUUUAAAGUUGAUGGAGCGAGAAUCUCUUACUCAAGCAAAGGCCAUUACUCUGGAGGAAGAGUUUACUAAGGUCAAGGAGGAUCUGCAAAGGCAGAAGGUUAUGUACGAGGCUCAGCUCGAAUCUCUUCGUGAUUCCCACCAGGUUCAGGUCGAGAACUUGGAGAGGAAAGCUGACAACCAAUACGACCAGGGACUUCGGCAUUCAUAUCGUUGUAUCAUGGCCGUCCUUGGGAAGCAGCACCUUGAUCUGAAGAUGGAUGACCUUGCUGCUGGUGUUGCUCAAUACAUGGACGAGGAGGCAGCAAAAGAGAAUGUCGAAGAGGUGGAGCCAAUUGCGGUUGAGGAGGAAGACUCUCCUCCUCGUGCAAUCCUUGUUUAUGCUGCUGAGGCGAGUAGCCCCCGGAUGCAACUGGUGAUACCCCCCCUGCACCUGAGGUGGACUGUUGUGCAAAUUUUAAUGUAGUCGCAAGCGCACGAAUCUAUUGUAGUGUAGAUCAAUGGUGACGAGUGUCGAUCCCACGAGGAGGAGGAUUUUAAUUGUGUAUAGAAUUAAUUUUGCAAAAUGGGUGGUUGGAAUUAUGGUGGAAGUGAUUUAAGUUAUCCUAAAAUUGGAAUUGAAAUUGCGAUAAUAAAUUCUAAAAUUGGAAUUGCAAUGGCGAGAAUAAGUUAAAGCGAAAUCUAUUGAAAUGACGUACUUGGGUAUCUGGAUCCGUAUCAACAUGCAUCAUGGGCUAAAUAAUCUGUAUUAAUGCCAAUUAAAUCAUGAGGGGGGAAUCCACACCUCAUGAACCACGCUCUAAUCAAGAUGGUGCUAAGGGCUUAUCGUGCCAAAUAAUAAUAACCUUAUACUAGAGAGCCGGUGUAACCAAGGCGGUAUCUAGACAAGAUCAGUAUUAUUUGUCGACGAUAAGUCAAAUCAUCCACAAAAACUAGAGGGGAAAAGAAAAUAAAUUUACCAAGUAAAGCCCAUGACACAUGUUGAGACUUCACCUUCAACCCAAGCUUGAAAGAAAAUUAGCCACUCAUAAUUGAACUAGGGGCAAAAUGGGAAUUUAUUAAAAUACGAAGAAAAUACAAGAUGGAGAGGGAAUUACAGAAAAUGGAUCCCAAAAAUGGAUUCAGAGAUAUCAAAUUAGGGGGGGGGAGGCCCCCUUUUUAUAGAUACAUGGAGUAAAUCAUGGCCAUCGGAUUAAAAACAGUUUGGACGCUCAGGAUUGCGCCACGUCAUCAGUCAACAGUCCACGGUUUGACCACGCGGAUGAACAGUAACACGGUUUGACCCGGAUGAACAGUAACGCGGUUUGGUUGAAAAUAAUCCUGUGUGAUGCAUGCACCGUACGCGAGAUUUUUCGUCCACUGAUAUGCUGCCACGUCACCGUCAACAGUACAUAAGAAUUUUAGUCCAACAGGAUCGUGACACCUCAUCAGUCAAUGCCACAUCAUCGGUCAAUGCCACGUCAUCGAUCCGUCUAUGUGAACAGUGUCGUGAACAGUAACGUAGACAGUACCGUAUACGUGAAUAGUACCGUACAUGUGAAUAGUGCCAUUUUUCCUUUUAUGCUCCUCCUAAGGUUUUCGACCGUCCUGAGUUCAAAAGUGAUGUCCGUUUUGCCGUCUGAUCUCUCCUUUAUUGUGAAAUGACUAUAAUGCCCCUAAAAUACAUAAAAUACUUAAUUAAAAUAACACACACGUAAUUACAUCACAAGAAGGUUAAAUACAUAAAAGUAAGGGUUGUUAGUAAGACUUGAAAUGUAAAAUGACGGUUUUCUCCUUUAUAAAUAUGCAUUUUCUAACACUCAACACACCCCCCAACCAGCUUAUUGCUAGUCCCUAGCAAAUAAAGCGAAAACAAAAUUCAAAUUCAAAAUGAUUUUUUUUUUUUUUUUUUUUUAGAAACACUCGUGUUUAUUCAAUCAGAUUAAUGAUAGCAAUCAAAUAAAAGUAUAAGCAUUAUCUCCAGUCUAAAGCAACAUCACACCCACAUCAACCAUCCACAUGAAUUAGCCCAGUAGACUUUGUUAUAGCUACUUUCAAGAAUGACAUGUCAAACCCCAAAAUCUCACUGGAAGUAGUGACACUCUCACAAAGAAAUUAAAACCCAAUAAACAUAGUCACUCCAAUGAAUGGUAAUUGAGAGAGAAAAUAAUAAAGAAAUGAUAUCACAUGCUCUCACCAAGAUGAAAUAAAUAUGCCCUCAGCUUAGAAAUAAUACGAUCUCAAGUCAAAUAAAAUGUUAGUCAACCCACUUUAUUUAUCUUUUUUUUUUUUUUUAUUAUGCAUCACUACAUCUUUUUAGCCCAUAUAACUAGCUUCUACUUCAAACUAUAGUUCCCUAAAAUCAAGAAAGACUUUUAUUAGGACGUAACGUAGGCUAGGGAUAUGGCUAACAAAGAAAGGAAAUAAGGAAAACAAAGUGUAUGUUUGAGAAAAAUGCAGAAUUUUUUUUUUUUUUUUUUGGAACUUGCAAGGUGGAUUUCACCUAUUAUUGUUAUUUUUAUUCUUUUGAAACAACAACUUUUGUUUUUGUUUUUGUUUUUGUUUUUUUUUUUUUUUUGCUUUUAUUUGGCAUAACUUCACUGAACAAUAUAAUUAUUUACAUUUUCUCAAACAUAAAUAGGUGAUGGAACUUAAAAGACAUUGGGUAAUACUCCAAAUCGGAGUGGGUCAAGAUGAUAAGUUGACAAAGAAAAUGUUUUUGUUCUUUUUUUUUUUUUUUUUUAAAGGCUCAAAAGGGGUAACUAUGGAUAUUUAAUAAAAGGGAUGGCUAGAAAGGCUCAAACGGAUCAAAGAUGGCCUUUCCAUCGUCUUUUAGGGCUCUAAAUAAUUAUCCAUAUCUACUAGUUAGAUGGGCCUCCCAAUGUAGCAACACACAUUUUUUUCUUUUUUUUUUUUUUUUAAUUUUACCAUAUUUUUUUUUUAAAGGGUUAACUUAAAAGAAAUCUAGAGAUCGUGUAUAAAAUAAUAAACUGCUAAGCUGUAUAGAGAAUGGGCAAAAGGGUUACUCUCCAAGAAAAUGAUAGGCUCAACUACUCACUUGGCACUUAUUUAUGACAUGUUCAUUCCUUCAAGCAACUCAUAUUUGUCUCCGACAUCAACAUGUAAAGUAGCAAACAUAGCGUAACAUCACUUAAGACCAAAGAUAAUACAAAUACUAAAAUUUGAAAUUAAUCAUGUCAUCCAAUGUUAAAACAAAUAACACAAUUUUUUUUUUUUUAAACAACAUUCUACCCCCCAACCUAUUCUAAACAUGAAAGGAAAAUAUGCAUGCAGAAAUGUGAAAAUGAUGUAGAAAAAUUAAUUAGAAAAAGAAUUUUUUUUUUUUUAAACUAAGAAGAUGCGUUUCUAGAGGCACUACACUCCAUAUUCAGCCAUCUUCGACUCAAAAAUUUGAAACUACAUAUUUAUAAAGGAGAAAGAGGAAGAAAACAAGUUUUUUUUUUUUUUUUUUAAAACGAUGAAGAUGCGUUUCUAGAGUAACUACACUCCAUAUUCAGCCAUCUUCAACAUAAAAUGUUAGCAACAGUUAGUUUCUACAACAAAAAAUCAGUAAAAACUUAACCAAGAUUCUACAAUUGUCGACUAUUCCCUCCCCCCAACCAGAACGAAACAUUGUCCUCAAUGUUUUAAAGGAAAGAAGUAGAGUUUAGAAGACAUCACCUGGGUGGUGCAACACAGAAGAAAAUAUUUACAGGCGGAGAGUUAAAUCUAAUUUGUACUUCUUACUGCGGCUACUGUUACCAUCAUUAUUUGGUCGCUCCAACACAAAGGUCCAGGGGUCUGGCUCCGGUUUAUAAGCUUGUAACAUAUCAAGUAGCUCAUUAGCAGUGUGAGCACAAAUAAAGAGUUUUUUCACAUUAGAAGGAAUGAAAUAGUUUUUUAUUGCAUGGUUAAGAAAUGCGAUAAAGCCAUCAUAAAAGUUAUUGACAUUUAACAAACCGAUGGGUUUCUGGUGGAUGUGCAGAUGGGCCCAAGAUGCUAGUGUCAUAAGUGCCUCUAGUGUUGCAAGAUCUCCUGGAAGGAAAAUAAAAGCAUCAGCAUGAUUAAGCAUUUCAGUUAUUCUUUCUUGCAUACUUGAGACGACUAACUCUUCUCCUGUUGAUGAGUCAGACGAACUGCCCAAUGGUUUUAGGACUCUUGGGAUGAUGCCUAACACUUGACUUCCUCUGAUAAAAGCUGCUUCUGAGACCAUUUUUCAUAACCCUCGGUUACCUCCUCCAUACACCAAAUGUAAUUUUCUCGCUGCUAUGCUUCGACCAAGAUCUAUGGCUGCCUCAACGAACUCUUUAUGUUUGCCAUAGGUAAAUCCAGAAAGCACACAAAUGUUCUUGAAUUGUCUAUUGGGAGUGGCUGCCAUUGUGAUACUUCUCAAAAAUAAUUUGUGAGUGCUUGACAAAAAGUAAAUCACAUUUAAGAAUCUUGGUGACAGUGGAUCACAGCUGUGUAUGAGGUAACAUGUCAGUGUCAAAUAACGCGUAAAGCACGUGGCUCGCGAGUCAAAAAGAAAACAGUAAAAAGGAAAAAGCAAACAGUAAUAAAAUUAUUAAAGGCAAUAAUGCAAACGAUAAAACAAUAGUGAAAUAAAAUAACAGAAAGUAAAAGGAUAUUUACACGUAGUUGCGACUGUGGCUCACAUCUUCCUCUGGUUUUACGUCCAGAAACGGCUUGAACGCCCUCUAUGGGUCGAGGAUGGGCUUCCCAUCCAGUUUUCUUAUAAACUGGCAAACAAGGUCGUUUAUAGUCAGAUUCCCGAGACUAUAUCGUGCAUGCUCUUUCUGGAAUAAUGGCCAUAACCGGAGAAUCGCUCCUUGCACAUAUCCACUGGGAUGCGUUUCAAGAGACAAAAGGAUAUCAUCCAAUGACUCCUUAUUCAAGCCAUCCCUAAUGAAUUGAAUCUUAUCUUCCCUGUUAUCAGACACCAUUCCUAAAGAACAUGGGUUUCUAUCGCAACUCAUUCUGGCACACUUAUGACAAGCAACAGAAAUUCUUCGAGCUCGUCGUUUUCUUGCAUAAUUUCCUUUACCACAACCAGGCAUGUAUGCAAUAAAUUUAGGAGGUAACUCACCUGCCAAUCGUACUUUAGCCUCGAUUAACCAACGGAUGUCUGCAGGUAUGUUAUUCUUCAUGAGCAAUCGCAUGCGUUCAGACCGGGCUUUGUAGAUCGUAAGGAGGGCAUUCUGAGGAAGUGAAGGGAAUCGCUUGUGAAGCUUCGCUAGAAUCUCGUUUCUGUCCAUACCUUCGCCUCAGAAUAUCAGUUAUUAUGGGAAACUGAAGUUAACCGACUUGAUUGUCACGGAGUACCGUUAUCCGCCACUUCACCGGGGUAACAAACUAAAGCACACAAACAGAAAAACAAAUUAAAACACACAAAGAAAAUUAAAAUCGUCCUCUUAUUGAAUUUACCUCAAGCUCCAACUGGAUGUCGUAAACACUUCUCUCAAUGUCUCUGAGUUGGCGUUCUAAACCCUCAACAUAGGCUACUAACUCUGGUGGUUGUAGAGCCCAAAUGCGUUGUGUUUUACAAAAUAGAAUCUGCCUUUUGAGAUGAGUUUUGACACGUUGAAGUGGUUUAAGAAUGUUCAGGAGGAACGGUCUAAGUAUGAGACUCAUGAUUAAAAAUGAUAAGAGAAAACUUAAUAGUAAAAUAAACACACUUAUGCAAAAACAAUUUCAAUUAGCAAAAGAAUAAUAAUAAAAAGAAAUAAAGAAAAAUCAAAUCAACGAAAAGAAAAAAAAAAUCAAUUCAAAUUUGGUGGGUCACUCAAAUUUAUUUCGAUGUUUUCUCCAUGUGGUUGGUACUCUAGAUAUGGCUUUAAUCUUUGACCAUUAACUUUAAACGUGACACCGUUCUUUGGGUCCUUAAUUUCAAUUGCCCCAUGUGGAAAAACAGUAUGUACAAUAAAUGGGCCAGACCAACGAGAGCGUAACUUACCUGGGAAUAGGUGCAAGCGAGAAUUGAAUAAAAGCAUUUUCUGACCUGGAGUGAACGAUUUUCUCAUAAUUUGCUUAUCAUGGAAGACUUUCAUUCGUUGCUUGUAAAUCUUGGCAUUUUCGUAUGCAUCAUUGCGAAUUUCUUCAAGUUCUGCCAGCUGUAAUCUUCUUUCUGAGCUGGCUUGCUGCAUGUCAAAGUUGAAUUUCUUGAUGGCCCAAUAUGCACGAUGCUCGAGUUCCACAGGUAGGUGGCAAGCUUUUCCAUACACUAGCCUGUAGGGUGACAUCCCAAUCGGGGUCUUGAAAGCCGUUCUAUAUACCCAUAAUGCAUCAUCAAGUCUUAAUGACCAAUCUUUUCUGCCUGGCCUCACCGUCUUUUCUAAUAUGUGCUUUAUUUCUCGAUUGGAGAUCUCAACUUGGCCACUGGUUUGCGGAUGAUACGGGGUCGCCACUUUGUGUGUGAUUGAAUACUUUGUCAAAAGAGCUUUGAAUGCUUUGUUACAAAAGUGGGCACCACCAUCACUGAUUAUCGCUCGAGGGAAUCCAAAGCGUGAAACAAUGUUGCUUUUCAAAAAUCCUAUCACCACUUUGUGAUCAUUGGUUCUGCAUGGAAUUGCUUCCACCCAUUUCGAUACGUAGUCAACAGCAACCAAUAUGUAUUGAUGACCAAAAGACGGAGGAAAGGGUCCCAUGAAGUCGAUACCCCAUACGUCAAAAAUCUCAACCACUAAAAUUGGAUUUAGUGGCAUCAUGUUCCUUCGUGUAAUGCUCCCCAUUCGUUGACACCUAUCACAUGAAGAACAGAAAGUGUAAGCAUCUCGAAAUAUAGUUGGCCAAUAAAAACCACAUUGUAAAACUUUAGUCGCGGUUUUCUUAGCACUGAAGUGGCCUCCACAAGCUUGUGCAUGGCAGAAUGAAAGAAUAUUCUGAAUUUCAUUUUCAGGGACACAUCGUCUAACAAUUUGGUCUGCACAAUACUUGAACAAAUAUGGGUCAUCCCAAAAGAAAUUCUUUAUUUCCGCAAAGAAUUUAGCCUUGUCUUGCUUGGUCCAAUGCUCUGGAAGUUUACCUGUAACAAGAUAAUUAACUAUAUCAGCAUACCAAGGUAAUACUUCCACAUUCAUUAAUUGUUCAUCUGGAAAUGACUCAUUUAAUAUUAAUGGCUCUGUAAUUGUGUCAAAAUGGAGACGAGAGAGAUGGUCCGCCACAACAUUUUCUGUGCCUUUCUUAUCCUUGAAUUCCAAGUCGAAUUCCUGCAAAAGUAACACCCAACGAAUUAGUCUAGCUUUUGCAUCUUUCUUUGUGAGAAGAUAUUUAAGAGCAGCAUGAUCUGUGAAUAUAAUUAUUUUACAACCAAUGAGAUAAGAUCGAAAUUUCUCUAAUGCAAACACUACUGCUAGCAUUUCUUUUUCAGUAGUUGAAUAAUUCAACUGUGCAUCAUUCAAUGUCAUACUAGCAUAGUAAAUAACGUGGGGAAUUCGAUCAACUCUUUGUCCUAAUACUGCUCCUACUGCAUAAUCAGAUACAUCACACAUGAGCUCAAAUGGUAAGCUCCAGUUUGGGGCCUGAAUGAUGGGUGAUGAUGUCAACAACUGCUUUAAUUUUUCAAACGCCAUGAGACAUGAAUCAUUAAAGAUAAAAGGUACAUCCUUAGCAAGUAAAUUGCAUAAGGGUCUAGAAACUUUGCUAAAAUCUUUAAUGAAACGUCUAUAGAAACCAGCAUGCCCAAGGAAAGAUCUUACUUCUCUGACUGUUUUAGGUAGAGGAAGAUUAGAAAUUAGAUCCACCUUGGCUUUGUCAACCUCAAUACCUUUGCUUGAAAUGAUGUGACCGAGAACAAUACCUUGUUUUACCAUAAAAUGGCACUUCUCCCAAUUUAAGACUAAGCUCUUCUCGGUACAUCUCUGCAGAACUAGCGUUAGAUGAUGUAAACAUUGAUCAAACGAGUCACCAAAGACAGAAAAAUCAUCCAUAAAGACUUCAAGGAAUCGUUCAACCAUAUCAGAAAAAAUGCUCAACAUGCAUCGUUGGAAUGUAGCAGGUGCAUUACAUAAUCCAAAUGGCAUUCUCCUAUAUGCAAAAGUGCCAAAAGGGCAAGUGAAAGUAGUUUUCUCCUGAUCUUUUGGUGCUAUGGGAAUCUGAUUAUAUCCUGAAUAACCAUCUAGAAAGCAAUAAAAUUCAUGGCCUGCUAAUCUAUCAAGCAUUUGAUCAAUAAAUGGUAAAGGAAAAUGGUCUUUACGUGUGACAGAAUUCAACUUUCUAUAAUCAAUGCAUACACGCCAUCCUGUAGUUACUCUAGUUGGUAUCAAUUCAUUAUCAGCAUUGGUAACUACUGUGACUCCUGACUUUUUGGGGACGACUUGUACAGGACUGACCCAUGAACUAUCAGAAAUUGGGUAAAUGAUACAUGCAUCUAAUAGCUUAAGGACUUCAGUUCUAACAACUUCUUUCAUGUUAGGAUUUAACCGACGUUGCAUCUCCCUAGUAGUUUUAGCAUUUUCAUCAAGGUGAAUGUAAUGCAUGCAGUCUACUGGGUUUAUACCUUUUAUGUCUGCUAUGGUCCAUCCUAAUGCCCCUUUGUGCUCUUUUAAUACAUCCAACAACUUACCUUUUUGUUCGUCAUUUAGGGAUGAUGAAAUGAUUACCGGCAGAGUACUUUCUUCUCCCAAAAAUGCAUAUUCCAGAGUGUUGGGUAAUGGUUUGAGCUCGAGUUUCGGUGGUGAUUCUGAUGAUGGGAUGAGUUUCUUUUCUGAUGGUGCUAGUUGUUCAACUCUUGACUUCCAUUUAUUAGUGUCCAUGGAUGGUGCUGAGUCAAGUAGGGCGUUGACCUCUUCGACCGAUCUGUCAAUAUCAAAAUCCAAACCAAAGUGAGUUAAACAUGUUUGUAAAGGAUCAUCACUAAGGUUUGAAAGAAAAGUAUUAUCAACUAUUGUUUCUAUUAAAUCCACAUCAACAAUUCCAUCAUCUGCACUGUGAGGUUGUUUGGCAAUGUUGAAGAUGUUUAGCUCCAUAGUCAUGUUGCCGAAGGACAAUUGCAUAUUUCCGGUCCUACAUUGAAUAUGAGCAUCUGCAGUUGCCAAGAAAGGUCGGCCUAGAAUAAUGGGGAUGUGCUUCCUUGAGUCCUGUAUUGGUUGAGUGUCAAUUACAAUGAAAUCAACAGGAAAAUAAAACUUGUCUACCUGGAUAAGCACGUCCUCCACAAUACCACGAGGUAUUUUUGUGGACCGAUCUGCAAGUUGUAACACCACUGGAGUUGGGUGUAAUUCUCCCAGUCCAAGUUUCACGAAUACAGAGUAAGGCAACAAAUUUACACUAGCUCCUAAAUCCAACAAAGCAUUCUCAAUUGUGUGGUUCCCUAUACUACAUGAGAUAGUGGGGGAGCCUGGGUCUUUGCAUUUUAAAGGAAUUUUAUGUUGGAGUAUAGAACUAACGUUUUCUGUUAAAAAUGCCUUCUUUUGAACAUGCAUAUUUCUCUUUUUAGUACAAAGGUCUUUAAGAAACUUGGCAUAAGAUGGAACUUGCUUUAUAGCAUCAAGUAAAGGGAUGUUAACACUUACCUGUUUGAAGAUUUCGAGAAUCUCACCUGUGGAUUUUCCCUUCUUUCCUUUCACUAACCUCUGAGGAAAUGGAGCUUUGGGAACGUAUUCUCGUGGGUUGGUUUCUUCUUUUUCCUCCGGUGGUGAGUCCUCAACAUUCACAGGUACAAUUUGAUUUUCUUUUGUCACCGGCAUCUCCACUUUGUUGUCGACUUCCUUUCCUUUUCGCAAGGUCAUGACUGCUUUGACCUCUCCAUGCUGUUGUGGUGAACUGGUACUUGCUUCAUGCACUCCUUUAGGAUUAGGCACUGGUUGACUUGGAAACUUGCCUUUCUCAACAGUCAUUGCCAAAGUCUGAACUGAAGAAGCAAGCUGUCCCACCAUCUUCUCGAGGCUUGAAACUGAUUGGGCUUGUGAAUUGAAGCCCGCUCUCAACUCAUUUCGUAGUCCAUCAAUGGUGCGAUUCUGUUGCUCAAUCGUGGAGUGAGUAACAUUCUUGAAAUUCUGGAAUGCAUCCUCCCAUGGUCUAGGUUGAGAGUAGUUCUGGUUCUGAUUGUAUGGUCUGAAUGGUGGCUGAGAGGCUUGAGGAACUUGAGGAAUUUGUGGAGCUGGAGCUGCUGGUCCAUUCUGUUGGAAUCCUUGAGACCAUGAAAAAUUGGGGUGGUCUCUCCAUCCAGGGUUAUAUGUGUUGGAGUAUGGGUUGUAAUUAGAUGGCUUUCUCAUUACACCUAUGGCAUUGGCUUGAUCGGAGUAUGAGUCAUGGUCAUGUGGUUCUGUUGAUUUAGCAGUCGAUAACGAUGCUAUUUGUCGAGCAAGACCUUCAACCAUCUCCUUGACUUCUUUGAUUCCCGAAGUUGACUCGCCAAUUUGAACCUCAUUUACUCCCUUAAUUCUUCUAGUAUUCCUGAGUGAUCGACUCCGUUGUUGGGAAUUAUCCGCUUGUCGCUGGAAGAAUUCCCAAAUCUCUGUUGCGCUUUUUGACAUUAGCUCUCCUCCACUUGUUGCCAUUAGCCAUUCUUGCACAUUUGGUAGUAAUCCCUCCAAAAAGUAUUGGCAUUGGUGCCAUUUCUCGUACCCAUGAUGUGGACACUUCAAGAGUAGCCCAUUGAAUCGCUCCCAUGUUUCGAAAAACUGCUCGUCCUCUCUUUGUGUAAACUCUGAAAUUUCCCUGCGAAUAGAAUUGGUUUUAUGCACUGGGAAAUAUUUAUUUAGAAAUUUUGUAACCAUUUGUUCCCAUGAUGCAAUGCUAUUAGCAGGCAAAGUAUUUAACCAUGAACGAGCUCUAUCCUUUAAAGAAAAUGGGAAUAAUCUGAGUUUAACAUCAUCGUCUGAAAAAUUUUCAUAUUUAAAAGUUUGACAAAUGGUAUGAAAAUCAUUCAGAUGAUUAUAUGGGUCCUCAUUUUCUAAGCCAUAGAAUGUGGGGAGACAAUUUAGCACACUAGGUUUUAGUUCAAAGCUCCUAGCAGCUACAUUUGGGUAUCUAAUACAUGAUGUGCUCAAAUUAGCUAAGGGACUAAAAUAGUCCUUAAAUGGCCUCUCCUGUGGUGCUUGUAAAUCCAUUCCAAUUUUAUUUUUAAUGUGUUUUUGUGUGCGAAGUGUUUUUUCUAAUUCAAGGUCUAUAGGUUCAAGAUUAGGUAAUAAUGACCUACGACCAUGCAUGCAAAAUAAAAUGAAAAUAAAAAUAAAGAUGCAAACAAAACAAAAAAAUAAAGAUGGGAACAAAACAAAUAAAAAUAAAUAAGAGGGAGAAAUUACGAUACUAACCUUAUUGCGCUAUUACAACCUUUCUAUAAAAAUACACAAAAACAAAUACGUGAAAUAAAUUAACUAAAAAUUAAAUUAAUAAAAUAAACAAAAAUUACAAAGAAAAAAUAAAUUGAAAAUUAAAUUACAGAAUUUUAAAGAAGAGAAAAAGAAAAGAAAUACUAACCUCUAAAUGCGGAUUCACUUUUUUUUUUUUAAUAAAAAAUACAAGAAAACAAUUUAAAAUAAAUUAUUCACAAAAAUUAAUUUUAUGAAUUAAAAUUACUUACCUCCCCGGCAACGGCGCCAAAAACUUGUUGUGCAAAUUUUAAUGUACUCGCAAGCGCACGAAUCUAUUGUAGUGUAGAUCAAUGGUGACGAGUGUCGAUCCCACGAGGAGGAGGAUUUUAAUUGUGUAUAGAAUUAAUUUUGCAAAAUGGGUGGUUGGAAUUAUGGUGGAAGUGAUUUAAGUUAUCCUAAAAUUGGAAUUGAAAUUGCGAUAAUAAAUUCUAAAAUUGGAAUUGCAAUGGCGAGAAUAAGUUAAAGCGAAAUCUAUUGAAAUGACGUACUUGGGUAUCUGGAUCCGUAUCAACAUGCAUCAUGGGCUAAAUAAUCUGUAUUAAUGCCAAUUAAAUCAUGAGGGGGGAAUCCACACCUCAUGAACCACGCUCUAAUCAAGAUGGUGCUAAGGGCUUAUCGUGCCAAAUAAUAAUAACCUUAUACUAGAGAGCCGGUGUAACCAAGGCGGUAUCUAGACAAGAUCAGUAUUAUUUGUCGACGAUAAGUCAAAUCAUCCACAAAAACUAGAGGGGAAAAGAAAAUAAAUUUACCAAGUAAAGCCCAUGACACAUGUUGAGACUUCACCUUCAACCCAAGCUUGAAAGAAAAUUAGCCACUCAUAAUUGAACUAGGGGCAAAAUGGGAAUUUAUUAAAAUACGAAGAAAAUACAAGAUGGAGAGGGAAUUACAGAAAAUGGAUCCCAAAAAUGGAUUCAGAGAUAUCAAAUUAGGGGGGGAGGCCCCCUUUUUAUAGAUACAUGGAGUAAAUCAUGGCCAUCGGAUUAAAAACAGUUUGGACGCUCAGGAUUGCGCCACGUCAUCAGUCAACAGUCCACGGUUUGACCACGCGGAUGAACAGUAACACGGUUUGACCCGGAUGAACAGUAAUGCGGUUUGGUUGAAAAUAAUCCUGUGUGAUGCAUGCACCGUACGCGAGAUUUUUCGUCCACUGAUAUGCUGCCACGUCACCGUCAACAGUACAUAAGAAUUUUAGUCCAACAGGAUCGUGACACCUCAUCAGUCAAUGCCACAUCAUCGGUCAAUGCCACGUCAUCGAUCCGUCUAUGUGAACAGUGUCGUGAACAGUAACGUAGACAGUACCGUAUACGUGAAUAGUACCGUACAUGUGAAUAGUCCCAUUUUUCCUUUUAUGCUCCUCCUAAGGUCUUCGACCGUCCUGAGUUCAAAAGUGAUGUCCGUUUUGCCGUCUGAUCUCUCCUUUAUUGUGAAAUGACUAUAAUGCCCCUAAAAUACAUAAAAUACUUAAUUAAAAUAACACACACGUAAUUACAUCACAAGAAGGUUAAAUACAUAAAAGUAAGGGUUGUUAGUAAGACUUGAAAUGUAAAAUGACGGUUUUCUCCUUUAUAAAUAUGCAUUUUCUAACACUCAACAUGGACCAACCAACCGAGGCUGGUCGGCUUACUGACCCGUCGUCCUCUUGAAUGUAUCUUGUAUUGUGGUGAAUAUUGUAUGCGAAGGUUAUUAGCCUUGCAAGUUAUUCACAUAUUAAUAAAAUGUUUUCUAAUUGUUUUCUUGUGUUAUAAUUGGAAGUUAUUUUUCGUUUGAGAUUCUGCUCGCCUUCGCUUAAUCGAGCAGAUCCUGGCAUGCUUGGCUUCUGGUCUUGCCAUAAACAGACUUUGAGACAUGGUGAGCAUUUGCAUGCCUUAGAAACUUUUCAAUGUUUAGGAUUCUGCUCGCCUUCGCUUGGUCGAGCAGAUCCUGGCACGCUUGGCUUCUGGUCUCGCCAUAAAACAGGUUUUGAAACUUGUUGAGCCUUUGCAUGCCUUAGAAAUUUUUUAAUGCUUGGGAUUUUGCUCGUCUUCGCUUGGUCGAGCAGAUCCUGGCACGCUUGGCUUCGGGUCUCGCCAUAAAAUAGGAUUUGAGACUUGGUGAGCCUUUGCAUGCCUUAGAAAAUUUUUUGAUGCUUGGGAUUCUGCUCGUCUUCGCUUGGUCGACCAGAUCCUGGCACACUUGGCUUCGGGUCUUGCCAUAAAAUAAGCUUUGAGACUUGGUGAGCCUUUGCAUGCCUUAGAAAUCUUGUAUCAUUACAGCUAACUGAAAUUCCUCAUUGAUUCAUUAAGUGAUGAAUUCGGCUUACACGAGUUUGUUUGGACAUAAAAUAAAUAAUAACGAGCGCGAACAGAAAUAACUUUAAAACAUGAAUAAGUCUUAUUGGAAAUAUUUCCUGAGGUGCGCUGCAUUCCAUGGGCGUUUAACCUCGUGGCCAUCCGUGCGAACAAGCUUGUAAGCUCUGGGUCCAACUAUCUGCUUGACCCUGUAUGCCCCCCCCCAAAUUCGGUCCAAUCACUCCUUGAGUUGAGUCUUUGGUGUUCUGAUUCACUCUCCUUAACACCCAAUCUCUGACCUUGAACUGCCGUACACUCACCUUCUGGUUAUAAUACCGAGUAACCCUCUGCUGGUAAAUGGCUGAUCGCUUCGAUGCUUGUUCCUUCUUCUCAGUUAGCAAAUCCAGAUUCAGGCACAUCUGCUCGUUGUUCUCCUGCUCAUCGAAAUGAUCUGUCCGGUGCGUGGUCGUUCAUAUCUCGGCUGGUACGACCGCUUUAUGUCCGAAGGCCAGGGCGAACGGUGUUUCCCCAGUUGCUGUUUUAUGGGUUGUCUUGUAUGCCCAUAAAACACCUGAUAGCUCAUCAACCCAUGCACCCUUUUUUGCUCCAAGCCUGAUUUUCAAAAGCCUUUUUUGCUCCAAGCUUGGCAGAAAUCCCUGAAGCUAUGAUUAUCGAACUGCCUGGCAUUAUCCGUUAUCAACGCAUAAGGGAUCCCGUACCGACAAACCAGAUUUCUCCAUACGAAGUCUGUUGUCUUCUUCUUUGUGAUCCUGCUGAGGGCUUCUACCUCUAUCCACUUCGUGAAGUAGUCUAUUGCUACUAUUGCAUGUGUUGCUGCUCCUCGUCCCCUUGGCAACGGCCCGAUCAGAUCAAUUCCCCAUUGAGCAAAUGACCAGGGGGAGGCCAUAGAGGUGAGCUUCUCUGGUGGUUAGUUGGAGAAACUUGCAAAACUCUGGCAGCUUACGCAGCUCCUGGUCUUCCCCUGCGCAUCCUGGUGCAUUGUUGGCCAGAAAUAUCCCUGCCUUAGAACCUUGUGGGCAAGGGACCUCCCACCAGAAUGGUUUCCACAUAUUCCUUCAUGUACUUCUCUCAGUACGUAGUCUGCAUCAUCCUCAUCCAAGCACUGAAGGAACGGUAGCGUAUAUCCUCGCCGAUAUAGUACCCCAUCAAUCAUUGUGUAUCUUGAGGUUUGGGCUCUGAUCUUCCGGGCUCCUAGCUUAUCUGGUGGUAAUACCUUAUCUCUAAUGUACGAAGUUAUCGGAUCCAUCCACAAGUAUCUUUGUUCUAUCUGCAUCACCUCCAAAUUCUGCUCGAUGUUAGGGUUGGUUUUCACUUCCAAAUGGAUCGACUUAGGCAUUUUCAGGUCUGCUACAGCUGACAUCCUGGCCAGAAUAUCUGCUCGACUAUUCUGCUCCUUCGGUAUUUAUAUCACCUCAACCACUUCGAACUUCCCAUCAUCUGCCUGACUUUCUUCAGGUACUGCUCCAUCUUCUCCUCUCUCGGUUAAAAUCUUUCACUGACAUGAUUUACAACCAGCUGGGAAUCAGUUCUGAUAUUCACCUUAUAUAUUUUUACUGCCUUAGCCAAUUCUAAACCUGCUAUCAAUGCUUCGUAUUCUGCCUGGUUAUUCAUGGCUGUGAACUCUAACUUUGCAGCAUAAGAGAUCUCCUCCCUCUCUGGGCUUUCCAAGACAAUCCCUGCUCCAGACCCCUUCUCCCCUGAGGAUCCAUCCACUGACAUUUGCCAUACCCGAUCUUCAUUGUUGACAGUUGCAGCAUCUGGUGGGUCAAAACCAACUUCGGGCUCUGUGAAUUCUGCUACGAAAUCGGCCACUGCUUGGGCCUUUAUUGUUGCUCGGGGUUUGUAAUCUAUGUCGAACUCACUCAACUCUGUAGCCCACUUCACGAACCAACCAGAAGCAAUCGGCUUGUGUAGAGUUUGUCGCAGUGGCUGGUUUGUUAUUACAGAGACGGGGAAUGCCUGAAAGUACGGUCUCAGCUUUCGAGCAGCAACCACAAGGGCGAGUGCCCAUUUCUCCAACGGUGGGUAUCUGGUCUCGGCGUCUAGCAGGGCCUUGCUGGAGUAGUAUAUUGGAUACUGAACCCAUUCUUCCUGACACAACUUAAAAGUAAAUUUUAACUCCCAAGUAUAAGAGUGUCUUGUUGUAUUAUAACUCGGUGAGUCCGAGGUCGAUCCACAGAGAAAAGAUUUAAUUAAUUUAUUUUAUUUGAUCUAAAAAUUGAAAUUAAAACUUGAAUAUAAACAACUUAAUUUAAAUGAAACUAUGGAAUUGAACUAGUUAGGGUUAUGGAUCCACUCUUAGAAACAAAUAAAACUUAAUAAAUUCUUUUUGCCAAUUUGUUUUAGAUUUAUUACUCAAAAGAUUAAUUAUACAAAUUAUUAUUAUUUUCCCUUUAAUUUUAUGAUGGAUUAAGUAUUUAUUGUGCCAAAAUUUAAUUUGUCUACAAUAAGUCAAAAUACCAUUUCACCAUGCCUUAUAUUAAGAUCUUAAGAAUUUAUUGUGCCAAAAUUCAUUUAUUUGUCUACAAUAAAUCAAAUUUUCAAAAUAUAAAACAUGUAUAAAAUUAAAUAGAAAAUAAUUUAAUUUAUAAAAUUAAACAUAGAAUUUGAUUAAAUCAUAUUUAUUUCUUAAGAGUUUCACCUUCCCCUAACUAAUAUUAUUUAGUUAAGCAUAAUUAAAAUAAAAAGAAGUAGUAAAAUUGAAUUACUUAUAAUUAAAAGAAAUAAAAACAACUAAAAUUGGAAAUAAAACUAAUUUUAUUAAUGAAAAUAAUUAUACAAAAUAUUAAAAACACACCUGGAAAUCAAGAUUACAAGGAGAUGGAGAGAAUUUGAGAAGAAGAGAGUUGUAGAGAGAUGAUUAAAACAUAAAAAUGAGGCCCUAUUUAUAGAAAAAAUAAAUUCAUAAUCCCGUGCUUUGCGGUCCAUCAUAGGCUUCAUGCAUGUGCUCCUCACAACCCUUAGAUCAAGAUCCAAUGGCUGGUCAAACUUCAAAAGUCAACAUCACACAUGGCAUCAUUUGACUCGUCCGAUUUACCCAAAGAACGGUUGAGAUUUGGCGGGUUAAUGGGUGGAUCGGGUCGACCCGAAUACAAAGAUUCGGAUCCUCCAACUUGCUUCACCAACCAUUGCCACGUGGCACAAUCAUGGCCAUUGAAUCAUGAACGGUUGAGAUUUGGUCAAGAUUGCCAGUUAUCCCAUGCACUCAUAUCUAUUGUAAGCUCAUUUCAUCAUCCAAUCAGUGCUCGGUCAACAGGAAAAGUCAACUUUUUUUACACAAGCCCAAUUUUAAGCCGAUCUUGACUGAUCUUAAGGUUUUCGGACCUCCGGAAUCCAAAUUUGACCUCCGUUUAUCUGUUUGGAGCCUCGAAGUACGUGAAAUUAAUAAUUUUCCUAAUAAACACAUAAAAAUACACAAAAUUAAAUAUAUUUAAAACAUAAUUCAUAAUUCAUAAUAUAUUACAUAAACACAAAUAUAAAUUAUAACAUAAGCAUAAAAUAACAUAUUAUCGCUUGAUAAUUAAACAAUUUUUAAUACUAAUCACACCCCCCAACCAGCUUAUUGCUAGCCCUCUAGCAAUUAAAGCGUUAUAUUAAGAUUUAUAAAAUUCACAUGCAAGUUAAUAAUUGUUCAUCUAUCCUCUAAAUUACCAAAUAAAUAAACUCUCCCAAAUUCCUUUACCACAUUGAUGUUCACUCAUUAUUCAGAAUAUCAUCAAACAUUCUUUUGUGCUCAAGUAAUUAACACAAUACUUAUGGGGCUUCAUUAAAAGAAAAACAACAUUUUCGUUCUAAAAUUCAUUAGAAAUUAUAUCUUUAGGCACAGAUUAUUCACACAUUUUUUUUUUUUUUAUAUAUUACAUUUCUAACCCGUGUAGCGAGCUUUAGGCCAGUGACUCCCAGACCAGUUGGCCUUAGGGCACUAGGUGUUGAAACACCCCUACGGACUUAAUUACUCGGGUUUCUAAUAAACAAACAAUAUAUCUAUUACCCAUGUAGCGAGCUUUAGGCCAGUGACUCCCAGACCAGUUGACCUUAGGGCACUAGGUGUUGAAACACCCCUACGGACUUAAUUACUCGGGUUUCUAGAUAUAACAAAUUUUUUUUUUCUUUUUUUUUUUUUUUUUUUUUUUUUUUUUUUUGGAAAUAUACACUUUCUACUACCUUAGAUACUUUUCCUAAUAAAUCAAAAGAACUAAAUGCUGUAAAAUUUUAACUUACAACCCACUAGUAUGUGUCAUAAUGUGUGUGUGAAGAAUGAUUCAACAAUACCUGUUAAAUGAGUAAACAAUUAAAUAACUUAAUAACCAAGUGGAGAGUUCACAUAUUUGAGUAAUUCAAAGAAAAGGGAACAAAAACAACUUACUAUAAAUCUCAAAAUCAAAAUAUAAUACAACAAGACUAUUAGGAUGCGUCUCAAAAGUCGUGACUCUUUACACGGCCAUCCUAGACAAAAAACAAAUUUUUUUUUUUUUUUUUUUUGUUUUUGGCAAAGAAAAGAAAAGAGAAAAGGGAAAAAAACAACACACAUAUUUAAAACAUACGUCAAUUAUCCCCACCCCACAACCUAAUCUAAACAUUAUCCUAACAUUUUAUAAUUUUACAGAUAUGCAAAAAGAAAAAGAAAAAAUAAAAGAAGAAGAAGAGGAGAUCUCACCUGAACUUGAUGCAGAAGCUUAGAAGUAGAUAACAAAGAUGAAGAAAAAGAAAUUUUUUUUUUUUUUUAAUUUUUUUUUUUUUUUUUUUAAACAACACCCUUAAGAUUAAGAAGAUGCGUUUCUAGAGAGACUACAUUCUCUAUAUCCUGCCAUCUUCUACUCAAAUUUGUCCUAAGUUAGUCUUUACAGAAAAAAAAAAAUUUUGUUAUUGUUUUUUUUUUUUUUUUUUUUUUUUUUUUUUGUAAACACAUAACCAGGACUAAGACAUUCCACAAUUAUCAACUAUUCCCUCCCCCCAACCUGAAAAAGACAUUGUCCUCAAUGUUUUAAAAGGAAAGAGAAAGAGUGUAGAAGACAUCACAUGAACAUUACAACAGAAAAUAUUUACAAACGGAGAGUUAAAUCUAAAUCGCACUUCUUAUUACUGCUACUGUUACCGUUACCAUCAUUAGUCGACCAAUUCAGUGCAACAGUCUGUGGAUCUGGCUCUGGUGUAUAAGCUUGUAAAAGAUCAAGUAACUCAUUAGCAGUAGAAGCAGAGAUAAAGAGUUUUUUUACAGAAUGUGGAACAAAAUGAUUCUUUAUUGCAUGGUUAAUAAAAGUUAGCAAGCCGUCAUAAAAAUUAUUAACAUUUAACAAACCGAUGGGUUUUUGAUGAAUGUUCAAGUGGGCCCAAGAUGCAAAUGUAAUUAGUGCCUCAAAAGUUGCAAGAUCUCCUGGCAAAAAAAUAAAAGCAUCAGCAUGAUUCAUCAUUUCAGAUAGUCUCUCUUGCAUACUUGAUACCACUAAUUCUUCUCCAAUUGGUGGGCCAGACAAGCACACUAGCGGUUUCAUGGGUUUUGGGAUAAUGCCGAGUACUUGACUUCCUCUGGUAAAAACAGCUUCUGAGACAAGUCUUGAUAACCCUCGUUCACCUCCUCCAUAUACAAGAUGCAGUUUCCUCUCUGCUAUGACACGACCAAGAUCUACAGCUGCCUGAACGAACUCUUUGUACUUUCCAUAGUGAAACCCAGAAAGCACACAAAUAUUUUUGAAUUGUUUACUCGAAGAUGCUGCCAUUGGACUAAUUUUUCAAAAACAAGUUGUGAGUGUUUGAAAAACGAGCUCAUAUUUAAAGAUCUUGGUGACAUAAAUAAUGAGAAACAGCUGUAAAUGGGUUGGCAUAUUUGUCAAAUGACGAGGAAAGCUCGUGGCUCAAUAAUUCAAAAACAAACAGUAAAAAAAAAAAAAUAAUGAUUAGAAAAAGCAAACAGUAAAAGAAAACAAAUAUUUAUUAAAUACAAAAAUCACACCGCUAAAUGCAAUAAUGCAAAUGAUAAAAUAACAGUAAAGUAAAAUAACAGUGAAGUGAAAGGAUAUUUACUGGUAGUUGUGAUUGUGGCUCACAUCUUCCUCUGGUUUUACGUCCAGUAACGGCUUAAACGCCCUCUAUGGGUCGAGGAUCGGCUUCCCAUCCAGUUUUCUUAUAAACUGGCAAACAGGGUCUUUUUUAGUCAGAUUCCCAAGACUUAACUGUGCACUUUGUUUUUGGAAUAGUAUCCACAAAUUGUAAAUCUCACGUUGCACAAUUCCGCUUCGAUGCGUCUCAAGAGAUCGUAAGAUAUCAUCCAACGAUUCUUUACUCAUGCCAUCUUUAGCGAAUUUAAUUUUAUCUUCACGAGUAUCAGAAACCAUUCCUAAAGAUUUACAAUCCGGUCGUUUGCAACCAAGUCUUACACAGUUAUGACAUUUUGAGCCAAGUCGUUUAGCUCUCCUUUUCUUAGCAAACGUACUUUUACCAAAACCAGGCAUGUAAGAAACAAAUGGAUCAGAAAACUCACCUACUAAUCGGACUUUUGCUUCAAUUAACCAACGAAUGUCAGAAGGAAUGCCAUUGAUCAUUAACAAACGCAGUCGUUCACAACGAGCUUUGUAAAUUUUCCUGAGGGCAUUCUGAGGGAGAGAAGGAAAGUGCUUAUGCAGUUUAUGUUGUAUUUCUUCCAUGUUUGAUUUUGGAGUUUCAGUUAUUGUGGGAAACUGAAGAUACCGACUUAAAAAGUCACGGAGUACCGUUAUCCGCCAUUUAUACGGGAAAAUAAAUCAAAACUUACCAAAAUCAAAUCUGCAAAAUCAAAUCAAGCGUGAAAGCGAGCAAAAAGAAAAAAACACACAAUAUAAAAGGAAAAUGAACUUACAUUCGUCCUCUCAUUGAGUUAACCUCAAGCUCCAUUUGAAAUUCAUAUAUACCACUCUCUACUGUUCUGAGUUGUCCCUCUAGAUCCUCAACAUAGGACACGAAUUCUGGUGGUUGCAGAUCCCAAAGUGGAUGUGAUUUACAGCUUUGUAUCAGGCCUCUUAAGUGAAAUUUUAUACGCCGAAAUCUUUUAAGAUGUGCGAACAGGUAUUUUCUCAUUGAGGUGCUCAUGAUGUAAAAUGAAAAUUGAUGAGAGAAUGUACAACUGUCAAACAAACACGCUUACACAAGAAAAACAAUGUUAAAAAAAACUAUUUACAGUGCAUCAAUCUAAAGAAAAAAAAUCAAACAAUGAAACGGUAAAAUAAUAGUAAAACAAAAAAAAUCAUUAAUGACUUAAUCAAGAACUGGUGGGUCAUCCAAAUUAAUUUCGGUGUCCUCGUCACGUGGGUGAUGUUCCAGAUAUGGUUUUAAUCUUUGACCAUUAACUUUAAAUGUGACACCGUUAUUUGGAUUCUCAAUUUUCUAUGGCCCCAUAUGAAAAUACAUUUUUUACAACAAAUGGGCCACUCCAUUUUGACUUUAACUUCCCUGGAAAUAAAUGAAGACGAGAAUUAUAAAGCAACACUUUUUGACCAAUCUCAAAUGUUUUUUCGAAAAAUUCUUUUAUCAUGAAAUGCUUUUGUUCUUGCCUUAAUAAUUCUUGAAUUUUCAUAUGCAUCAUUCCUUAAUUCCUCAAGUUCAUCCAAUUGCAAUUUUCGCACAUUACCAGCAUCAUCCAAAUUUGAAUUAAAAGCUUUAAUAGCCCAAAGUGAUUUAUGUUCAAGUUCAACAGGUAAAUGACAAGGUUUACCAUAAAUUAACCGAUAGGGUGACAUUCCUAAUGAUGUUUUUAAAUGCAGUACGGUAAGCCCAAAGUGCAUCAUUAAGUCUAAGAGACCAAUCUUUUCGGUUUGGGUUAACCGUUUUUUCCAAAAUUUGUUUUAUCUCCCUAUUUGCUAAUUCAACUUGACCAUUUGUUUGAGGAUGAUAAGGGGUAGCAAUUUUAUGUGUAAUUCCAUAUUUCUUCAUUAAAAACUCAAAUGACUUAUUACAAAAAUGCUUACCUCCAUCACUGAUAAUGGCUCGAGGGAUUCCAAAUCGACUUAAAAUGUUUUCUCUUAAAAAUUUAAUCACAGUUUUACUAUCAUUAUUUCGACAAGAAAUUGCUUCAAUCCAUUUUGAGACAUAAUCAACUGCAACUAAUAUAUACACAAAUCCAAAAGAUGAUGGAAAUGGACCCAUGAAAUCAAUUCCCCAACAGUCAAAUAUUUCAAUUUCAAGUAUGGGAUUUAAGGGCAUCAUGUUUCUUUUUGUAAUUGAUCCCAAUUUUUGACAUUUUUCACAACUUUUGCAGAAUUCAUAUGUGUCUUUAAACAUGGUAAGCCAAUAAAAUCCACACUGUAAAAUUUUAGCAGUAGUUUUUCUUGAAGAAAAAUGACCACCACAUGCUUCAGAAUGACAAAAAUUAAUGACACUACUUACCUCAUUAUCAGGAAUACAUCGCCGAAAAAUUUGAUCUGGGCAAUAUUUGAACAAAUAAGGGUCAUCCCAAUAAAAUUUCUUUACUUCAACAAAAAAUUUCUUUUUCUCUUGAGCAUUCCAUUGCAAAGGCAUUUUACCUGUAACAAGGAAAUUAACAAUGUUAGCAUACCAUGGCAUUGAAGUAACAGAAAAUAAAAAUUCAUCAGGGAAGGAAUCAUUUAUGGGUGUUAUAUCAUUGCAGAAUUCAGAUGUGAGUCUUGAUAGAUGAUCAGCAACAACAUUUUCAGCACCCUUUUUAUCUUUGAUGGUAAGGUCAAAUUCUUGUAGUAACAAAAUCCAACGAAUUAGUCUCGGUUUGGCAUCCUGUUUUACUCAUCAAAUAUCUCACAGCAGCGUGGUCAGUAAACACAACAGAUUUAGAGCCAAGCAAAUAUGAACGAAAUUUGUUUAAUGCAAAUACCACAGCAAGUAAUUCUUUUUCAGUUGUAGAAUAAUUCAUUUGAGCACUAUCCAAAGUCUUACUCGCAUAAUAAAUCACAAAAGGCUUACCAUCCCUUCUUUGUCCUAAAACAGCACCAACAGCAAAAUCACUUGCAUCACACAUUAAUUCAAAUGGCAAAGACCAAUCAGGAGAUUGCAUAAUAGGUGCAGAUGUUAAAAGACAAAUUAUUUUUUCAAAAGAUUUUUGGCAAUCAUCAUUCCAUUCAAACGGUGCAUCUUUUAAUAAGAGGUUACAAAGUGGUUUAGAUAUGGCACUAAAGUUUUUUAUAAACCUCCUAUAAAAUCCUGCAUGUCCUAAAAAGGAUCGCACGUCUCUAACUGUUUUUGGUUGUGGCAAUUUAGAUAUGACUUCAAUUUUUGCUUUGUCAACUUCAAUUCCUUUAAUAGAAACAACAUGACCCAAAACAAUUCCAGAAGUAACCAUGUAGUGACAUUUUUCCCAAUUCAACACGAGUUCUUUUUCAACACAUCUUUUUAAAACUUUCUCCAAAUUAUCAAGGCAAUCAUCAAAAGAAUUCCCAAACACAGUCAAAUCAUCCAUAAAGACCUCUAAACAAUGUUCAACCAUAUCACAAAAAAUGCUUAACAUACAUCUUUGAAAUGUUGCAGGAGCAUUACAAAGCCCGAAUGGCAUUCUUUUAAAUGCAAAUGUUCCAAAAGGACAUGUGAAUGUGGUCUUUUCUUGGUCCUCAAGUGCUAUAGGAAUUUGAUAAUAACCUGAAUAUCCAUCUAAAAAACAGUAGUAGGGAUGUCCUGCUACUCUUUCUAAGAUUUGGUCAAGGAAUGGUAAUGGAAAAUGAUCUUUUCUAGUGGCUUCAUUUAAUUUUCUAUAAUCAAUGCACAUGCGCCAACUAGAUGUAAUUCGUGUUGGAAUUAAUUCACCUUUUUCAUUUUUAACAACAGUGAUUCCAGAUUUUUUAGGCACUACUUGUGUAGGACUUACCCACUUACUAUCAGAAAUAGGGUAGAUAAUUCCUACAUCAAGUAAUUUAAGGACUUCUGUUUUGACUACCUCUUUCAUGUGUGGGUUUAAUCUUCUUUGAGGUUGCUGACAUAUUUUAGCAUUUUCUUCCAAAUUAAUUCUAUGUGUGCAGAUUAAGGGAUUAAUGCCUUUAAUGUCAUUUAAAGUCCACCCUAUUGCAUUUUUAUGCUUUUUAAGAACAGUUAGUAACUUACCUUCUUGGUCGCUUGUUAAAGUAGAAGAAAUCACAACAGGAUAAGUUUGUUCUUCUCCAAGAAAAGCAUAUUUCAAUCCUUCAGGCAAAGGUUUCAAUUCCAUUUUAGGUGCUUCUUGUUGUUCUGUCUUUUCAAUACUUCCAAGCUCCUUAAAUUUUUGCUCGUCAUCAUAAUUUUGUGAAGUCUGCAUAGAAUCAAGCAACGAAUUUAUAUUAGAAAUAUCCAGUUCAAGUUGCUUAUUUGACUCAAUUGAAUUAACUAAACAAACAUUAGAAAGUUCAGAAAAAUCCCCUUUUUGAAUAUUUUCCUCGAUACAAGAUUCAAACAAUUCCUUUUGUUCAUCGGUAUCAUCUUCAUUCUCAUUUUCUUCAUUAGGUUGCCUGCACAUGUUGAAAACAUUCAAUUCCAAAGUCAUAUUCCCAAAGGAUAAAUUCAUUAAACCAUUCCUACAAUUAAUCAAAGCAUUAGCAGUUGCUAAAAAUGGUCGACCUAAAAUUACAGGAAUUGGUUUGUAAUUAUUCACAAUAGGUUCAGUUUCCAAGACAAUAAAAUCCACAGGAUAAAUAAAUUUAUCAACUUGUACUAAAACAUCUUCCACUAUUCCUUUUGGUACUUUAACUGAUCUAUCGGCAAGCAAAAGUGUAGUUGAAGUUGAUUUUAACUCACCAAGAUUAAGUUGAAGAUAAACUGAAUAUGGAAGCAAAUUAACACUAGCACCAAGAUCUAAUAAAGCAUGCUCAAUUCUGUGGUUACCAAUAAUACAAGAAAUGGUAGGACAACCAGGAUCUUUAUAUUUCAACUUAUUAUUAGUAGACAGAAUUGUACUUACCUGUUCGGCCAUGAAAGCACUCUUUCUUACCUUCAAUUUCCUCUUAACAGUGCACAAGUCCUUUAAAAAAUUUUGGCAUAUGAAGGAACCUGCUUGAUUGCAUCUAAUAGAGGAAUGUUAACUUUCACUUGCUUAAAGAUUUCAUAAAUUUCAGAAGAGUGGUUUGAUUUCUUUGGUUUAUUCAAUGCAUGCGGAAAUGGUGGUUCAGGUGGAACACUAUUUAUUUCUUCACUAGGUGUAAGUUCAUUUAGUCCUUCCUUACCCUUUGAAUUUUUCAUCAUUUUCAUAAGGUUCAGGCAUAGGUCUAUCAACAACCUUACCACUACGAAGAGUUAUAACUGACUUGACUUGGUCUGUGGGUGGAUUUUGUUGAAUUUUUAGGAUUUUGGUUGUGGUUGGGGCUGGAAAUUUUCCUUUUUUCUUGAAUGGUGAGUGCAGAAGCGAUUUUAGCAAGAGUAUCUUUCAAAUCAGAAAAAGUUUGUGCAUUUUUGAUUGUUAAUAACAUCUUGCUUUCUGAUGAAUGAAUGCAUUGUGUCUUCCAGAUUUUUCCAAGGUGGUGGAACAUAUGGUGCAUAAGGCUGAGGAUUUUGAAAAUUUUGUGGAGGUGGUGCUUGUGAAGAUUGUGCAUUAUUAUUAUUCCUCCAACUGAAAUUCGGAUGAUUUCUCCAACCAGGAUUAUAAGUCUGUGAAUAUGGUUUGGUUUAUUGAAAGUGUUAAUGACAUUAGCUUGAUCAUUUUAGACAUUCUUUAAGUGCAGGCAAAGUGGGACACUCUUGAGUGAAAUGAUCAUUCAAAUUACAUAUGUUACAUGCAAUUUCUUUGAACAGAUUUUACUUGAUCACUCUUUUUAUGCUCCAAAGCUUCAACUUUCCUAACUAGGGAUGCAAAUUUUGCUUGUAAAUCAUGAUCUUCCCUAAGGUUAUGGAUUCCUCCACUAGAUGGAGAUGAUUGUUGCUUAUUUGUCAAUUCAAAAGUUCCAACAGUAUCCCAAUGUUGUGCAUUUUCAGCUAAUUGGUCAAGGUAAUCUAGUGCAUCUUCAGGAUUUUUAUCCCUAAAUUCACCAUUACACAUCAUUUCAAACAACCUGUCUACUUUGGGGGUAUUAAGCCCUCGUAGAAAUAAGUGACCAAUCGCAAGUUUCAAAACCAUGAUGUGGGCAUAUGUUAAGCAACUCUUUUAAACCUAUCCCAACAUUGGUAUAAUGUUUCUCCAUUUUUUUGAGUGAAAGAAGUGAUUUGCCUUUUAAAAGAAUUUGUUCUAUGAGGUGGAAAGAAUUUUUUCAAAAACUGUUCUUGCAUGUUAUUCCAAGUUCUUACUGAUCCAGAUCUAAGGUUUGUAGCCAAGUUUUAGCUUUAUCUUUUAAUGAAAAAGGAAAAAGCUUUAAUCUAAUUAUGUUCAUGCUACAAUUUUGGUCCGUGUAUGUAUUACAAACUUCCUCAAAAUCUCUUAGAUGCAAGUAUGGAUUCUCAGAUUCUAAACCAUGAAAUGUUGGUAAAAAGCUGGAUAAUACCUGGUUAAAGUUGAAUCGAGAUGCAUCUGGAGGAAAUACUAUACACGACGGUGCUCCGGUUCUGGUUGGAUUCAUGUAGUCUCUCAGAGUCCUUGGUUGAUUCUGAUCAUGCCCAUGUUGAGAUUGGUGUCUCCCUGAUCAAUUUGAGGAUUAAUUCACCCAAAACGUUUUCGCCUUCAUUCUCAUCCAUGAUUGGUGGUGGAGAUUGAGAUUUACGAAAUUAACCUGCCACUUGAAGAUCGAGACCAAUGUCUCAUGCAAGGGUUAUGUUAUAAAGAUAAUAUUUACACAAAGUGAUAACAAAAUAAAAAAAUAAAUAAGCAAAAUAAUAUAUGUAUACAAAGAAAAUUAAAUAACAAUUUUGGUGGUUGAACCCACCAAUUAACAAUAAAUUAAGUAUAAAAUAAAUGCAAAAAAAAAAAAAAAUGGUGGUUGAACCCACCAAUUAAAAAAAAAUACAAAAUUAAAUAAAUACUGAAAAUUAAAUAACUGAAAAUAAAAGUUAAGAGUUAGUAGUUAGUUUGGUGGUUAAACCCACCAAUAAAGCAAAAAUAAAUAAAUGCGAAAUAAAAUAAAUGCAGAAAAUUAAAUAACUGAAAUUAAAAAAAGUUAGAAGUUAGCAGUUAGUAAGUUAAGAGUUAGUAAUUAGAGUUAGUAGUUAAAGUUAGUUUUGUCCAAAUUAAGUCCAAAAUAUGUCCAAAAUGUCCAAGUAUGUCCAAGUCUUGAUUAUGUUGAGGAAUUUCGUCUAGGGAUUCUAUUGCCAAUUAUUUUUAAUUUUAUGGUCAAACUGUAAUUUUUAGAAGUUUAGAAUUAACAAUUUGGGAUGAAAGUGAAACAGUUGAAAGUGUCGGGGUCCGAACGUAAUUACCAAAAGAUUGGGCUAGAAACAGAAAUUUUUGGGGUGAAACGAGAAUUAUGAAAGAUAUGGGGACAAAAGAGAAUUUAAGAAAAGGAAAAGGGGGCAAACGAAAUUUUACAUAUAGAGAAAAAUAAAAAACGGAAAACAAACCAAAUAAAAAAAAACUUUUCCCCGGCAACGCGCNUUUGUUCUUGCCUUAAUAAUUCUUGAAUUUUCAUAUGCAUCAUUCCUUAAUUCCUCAAGUUCAUCCAAUUGCAAUUUUCGCACAUUACCCAGCAUCAUCCAAAUUUGAAUUAAAAGCUUUAAUAGCCCAAAGUGAUUUAUGUUCAAGUUCAACAGGUAAAUGACAAGGUUUACCAUAAAUUAACCGAUAGGGUGACAUUCCUAAUGAUGUUUAAAUGCAGUACGGUAAGCCCAAAGUGCAUCAUUAAGUCUAAGAGACCAAUCUUUUCGGUUUGGGUUAACCGUUUUUUCCAAAAUUUGUUUUAUCUCCCUAUUUGCUAAUUCAACUUGACCAUUUGUUUGAGGAUGAUAAGGGGUAGCAAUUUUAUGUGUAAUUCCAUAUUUCUUCAUUAAAAACUCAAUGACUUAUUACAAAAAUGCUUACCUCCAUCACUGAUAAUGGCUCGAGGGAUUCCAAAUCGACUUAAAAUGUUUUCUCUUAAAAAUUUAAUCACAGUUUUACUAUCAUUAUUUCGACAAGAAAUUGCUUCAAUCCAUUUUGAGACAUAAUCAACUGCAACUAAUAUAUACACAAAUCCAAAAGAUGAUGGAAAUGGACCCAUGAAAUCAAUUCCCCAACAGUCAAAUAUUUCAAUUUCAAGUAUGGGAUUUAAGGGCAUCAUGUUUCUUUUUGUAAUUGAUCCCAAUUUUUGACAUUUUUCACAACUUUGCAGAAUUCAUAUGUGUCUUUAAACAUGGUAAGCCAAUAAAAUCCACACUGUAAAAUUUUAGCAGUAGUUUUUCUUGAAGAAAAAUGACCACCACAUGCUUCAGAAUGACAAAAAUUAAUGACACUACUUACCUCAUUAUCAGGAAUACAUCGCCGAAAAAUUUGAUCUGGGCAAUAUUUGAACAAAUAAGGGUCAUCCCAAUAAAAUUCUUUACUUCAACAAAAAAUUUCUUUUUCUCUUGAGCAUUCCAUUGCAAGGCAUUUUACCUGUAACAAGGAAAUUAACAAUGUUAGCAUACCAUGGCAUUGAAGUAACAGAAAAUAAAAAUUCAUCAGGGAAGGAAUCAUUUAUGGGUGUUAUAUCAUUGCAGAAUUCAGAUGUGAGUCUUGAUAGAUGAUCAGCAACAACAUUUUCAGCACCCUUUUUAUCUUUGAUGGUAAGGUCAAAUUCUUGUAGUAACAAAUCCAACGAAUUAGUCUCGGUUUGGCAUCCUGUUUACUCAUCAAAUAUCUCACAGCAGCGUGGUCAGUAAACACAACAGAUUUAGAGCCAAGCAAAUAUGAACGAAAUUUGUUUAAUGCAAAUACCACAGCAAGUAAUUCUUUUUCAGUUGUAGAAUAAUUCAUUUGAGCACUAUCCAAAGUCUUACUCGCAUAAUAAAUCACAAAAGGCUUACCAUCCCUUCUUUGUCCUAAAACAGCACCAACAGCAAAAUCACUUGCAUCACACAUUAAUUCAAAUGGCAAAGACCAAUCAGGAGAUUGCAUAAUAGGUGCAGAUGUUAAAAGACAAAUUAUUUUUUCAAAAGAUUUUUGGCAAUCAUCAUUCCAUUCAAACGGUGCAUCUUUUAAUAAGAGGUUACAAAGUGGUUUAGAUAUGGCACUAAAGUUUUUUAUAACCUCCUAUAAAAUCCUGCAUGUCUAAAAAGGAUCGCACGUCUCUAACUGUUUUUGGUUGUGGCAAUUUAGAUAUGACUUCAAUUUUUGCUUUGUCAACUUCAAUUCCUUUAAUAGAAACAACAUGACCCAAACAAUUCCAGAAGUAACCAUGUAGUGACAUUUUUCCCAAUUCAACACGAGUUCUUUUUUCAACACAUCUUUUUAAAACUUUCUCCAAAUUAUCAAGGCAAUCAUCAAAAGAAUUCCCAAACACAGUCAAAUCAUCCAUAAAGACCUCUAAACAAUGUUCAACCAUAUCACAAAAAAUGCUUAACAUACAUCUUUGAAAUGUUGCAGGAGCAUUACAAAGCCCGAAUGGCAUUCUUUUAAAUGCAAAUGUUCCAAAAGGACAUGUGAAUGUGGUCUUUUCUUGGUCCUCAAGUGCUAUAGGAAUUUGAUAAUAACCUGAAUAUCCAUCUAAAAAACAGUAGUAGGGAUGUCCUGCUACUCUUUCUAAGAUUUGGUCAAGGAAUGGUAAUUGGAAAAUGAUCUUUUCUAGUGGCUUCAUUUAAUUUUCUAUAAUCAAUGCACAUGCGCCAACUAGAUGUAAUUCGUGUUGGAAUUAAUUCACCUUUUUCAUUUUUAAACAACAGUGAUUCCAGAUUUUUUAGGCACUACUUGUGUAGGACUUACCCACUUACUAUCAGAAAUAGGGUAGAUAAUUCCUACAUCAAGUAAUUUAAGGACUUCUGUUUUGACUACCUCUUUCAUGUGUGGGUUUAAUCUUCUUUGAGGUUGCUGACAUAUUUUAGCAUUUUCUUCCAAAUUAAUUCUAUGUGUGCAGAUUAAGGGAUUAAUGCCUUUAAUGUCAUUUAAAGUCCACCCUAUUGCAUUUUUAUGCUUUUUAAGAACAGUUAGUAACUUACCUUCUUGGUCGCUUGUUAAAGUAGAAGAAAUCACAACAGGAUAAGUUUGUUCUUCUCCAAGAAAAGCAUAUUUCAAUCCUUCAGGCAAAGGUUUCAAUUCCAUUUUAGGUGCUUCUUGUUGUUCUGUCUUUUCAAUACUUCCAAGCUCCUUAAAUUUUUGCUCGUCAUCAUAAUUUUGUGAAGUCUGCAUAGAAUCAAGCAACGAAUUUAUAUUAGAAAUAUCCAGUUCAAGUUGCUUAUUUGACUCAAUUGAAUUAACUAAACAAACAUUAGAAAGUUCAGAAAAAUCCCCUUUUUGAAUAUUUUCCUCGAUACAAGAUUCAAACAAUUCCUUUUGUUCAUCGGUAUCAUCUUCAUUCUCAUUUUCUUCAUUAGGUUGCCUGCACAUGUUGAAAACAUUCAAUUCCAAAGUCAUAUUCCCAAAGGAUAAAUUCAUUAAACCAUUCCUACAAUUAAUCAAAGCAUUAGCAGUUGCUAAAAAUGGUCGACCUAAAAUUACAGGAAUUGGUUUGUAAUUAUUCACAAUAGGUUCAGUUUCCAAGACAAUAAAAUCCACAGGAUAAAUAAAUUUAUCAACUUGUACUAAAACAUCUUCCACUAUUCCUUUUGGUACUUUAACUGAUCUAUCGGCAAGCAAAAGUGUAGUUGAAGUUGAUUUUAACUCACCAAGAUUAAGUUGAAGAUAAACUGAAUAUGGAAGCAAAUUAACACUAGCACCAAGAUCUAAUAAAGCAUGCUCAAUUCUGUGGUUACCAAUAAUACAAGAAAUGGUAGGACAACCAGGAUCUUUAUAUUUCAACUUAUUAUUAGUAGACAGAAUUGUACUUACCUGUUCGGCCAUGAAAGCACUCUUUCUUACCUUCAAUUUCCUCUUAACAGUGCACAAGUCCUUUAAAAAUUUGGCAUAUGAAGGAACCUGCUUGAUUGCAUCUAAUAGAGGAAUGUUAACUUUCACUUGCUUAAAGAUUUCAUAAAUUUCAGAAGAGUGGUUUGAUUUCUUUGGUUUAUUCAAUGCAUGCGGAAAUGGUGGUUCAGGUGGAACACUAGUUAUUUCUUCACUAGGUGUAAGUUCAUUUAGUCCUUCCUUACCCUUUGAAUUUUCAUCAUUUUCAUAAGGUUCAGGCAUAGGUCUAUCAACAACCUUACCACUACGAAGAGUUAUAACUGACUUGACUUGGUCUGUGGGUGGAUUUUGUUGAAUUUUAGGAUUUGGUUGUGGUUGGGCUGGAAAUUUUCCUUUUUCUUGAAUGGUGAGUGCAGAAGCGAUUUUAGCAAGAGUAUCUUUCAAAUCAGAAAAAGUUUGUGCAUUUUGAUUGUUAAUAACAUCUUGCUUUCUGAUGAAUGAAUGCAUUGUGUCUUCCAGAUUUUUCCAAGGUGGUGGAACAUAUGGUGCAUAAGGCUGAGGAUUUUGAAAUUUUGUGGAGGUGGUGCUUGUGAAGAUUGUGCAUUAUUAUUAUUCCUCCAACUGAAAUUCGGAUGAUUUCUCCAACCAGGAUUAUAAGUCUGUGAAUAUGGGUUUGGUUUAUUGAAAGUGUUAAUGACAUUAGCUUGAUCAUUUAGACAUUCUUUAAGUGCAGGCAAAGUGGGACACUCUUGAGUGAAAUGAUCAUUCAAAUUACAUAUGUUACAUGCAAUUUCUUGAACAGAUUUUACUUGAUCACUCUUUUUAUGCUCCAAAGCUUCAACUUUCCUAACUAGGGAUGCAAAUUUUGCUUGUAAAUCAUGAUCUUCCCUAAGGUUAUGGAUUCCUCCACUAGAUGGAGAUGAUUGUUGCUUAUUUGUCAAUUCAAAAGUUCCAACAGUAUCCCAAUGUUGUGCAUUUUCAGCUAAUUGGUCAAGGUAAUCUAGUGCAUCUUCAGGAUUUUUAUCCCUAAAUUCACCAUUACACAUCAUUUCAACAACCUGUCUACUUUGGGGUAUUAAGCCCUCGUAGAAAUAAGUGACCAAUCGCCAAGUUUCAAAACCAUGAUGUGGGCAUAUGUUAAGCAACUCUUUAAACCUAUCCCAACAUUGGUAUAAUGUUUCUCCAUUUUUUUGAGUGAAAGAAGUGAUUUGCCUUUUAAAAGAAUUUGUUCUAUGAGGUGGAAAGAAUUUUUUCAAAAACUGUUCUUGCAUGUUAUUCCAAGUUCUUACUGAUCCAGAUCUAAGGUUUUGUAGCCAAGUUUUAGCUUUAUCUUUUAAUGAAAAAGGAAAAAGCUUUAAUCUAAUUAUGUUCAUGCUACAAUUUUGGUCCGUGUAUGUAUUACAAACUUCCUCAAAAUCUCUUAGAUGCAAGUAUGGAUUCUCAGAUUCUAAACCAUGAAAUGUUGGUAAAAGCUGGAUAAUACCUGGUUUAAAGUUGAAUCGAGAUGCAUCUGGAGGAAAUACUAUACACGACGGUGCUCCGGUUCUGGUUGGAUUCAUGUAGUCUCUCAGAGUCCUUGGUUGAUUCUGAUCAUGCCCAUGUUGAGAUUGGUUGUCUCCCUGAUCAAUUUGAGGAUUAAGUUCACCCAAAACGUUUUCGCCUUCAUUCUCAUCCAUGAUUGGUGGUGGAGAUUGAGAUUUACGAAUUAACCUGCCACUUGAAGAUCGAGACCAAUGUCUCAUGCAAGGGUUAUGUUAUAAAGAUAAUAUUUACACAAAGUGAUAACAAAAUAAAAUAAAUAAAUAAGCAAAUAAUAUAUGUAUACAAAAGAAAAUUAAAUAACAAUUUUGGUGGUUGAACCCACCAAUUAACAAUAAAUUAAGUAUAAAAUAAAUGCAAAAAAAAAAAAAAAAAUGGUGGUUGAACCCACCAAUUAAAAAAAAAUACAAAAUUAAAUAAAUACUGAAAAUUAAAUAACUGAAAAUAAAAGUUAAGAGUUAGUAGUUAGUUUGGUGGUUAAACCCACCAAUAAAGCAAAAAUAAAUAAAUGCGAAAUAAAAUAAAUGCAGAAAAUUAAAUAACUGAAAUUAAAAAAAGUUAGAAGUUAGCAGUUAGUAAGUUAAGAGUUAGUAAUUAGAGUUAGUAGUUAAAGUUAGUUUUGUCCAAAUUAAGUCCAAAAUAUGUCCAAAGUAUGUCCAAGUAUGUCCAAGUCUUGAUUAUGUUGAGGAAUUUCGUCUAGGGAUUCUAUUGCCAAUUAUUUUUAAUUUUAUGGUCAAACUGUAAUUUUUAGAAGUUUAGAAUUAACAAUUUGGGAUGAAAGUGAAACAGUUGAAAGAUGUCGGGGUCCGAACGUAAUUACCAAAAGAUUGGGCUAGAAACAGAAAUUUUUGGGGUGAAACGAGAAUUAUGAAAGAUAUGGGGACAAAAGAGAAUUUAAGAAAAGGAAAAGGGGGCAAACGAAAUUUUACAUAUAAGAGAAAAAUAAAAAACGGAAAAACAAACCAAAUAAAAAAAAACUUUUCCCCGGCAACGGCGCCAAAAACUUGACACAACUUAAAAGUAAAUUUUAACUCCCAAGUAUAAGAGUGUCUUGUUGUAUUAUAACUCGGUGAGUCCGAGGUCGAUCCACAGAGAAAAGAUUUAAUUAAUUUAUUUUAUUUGAUCUAAAAAUUGAAAUUAAAACUUGAAUAUAAACAACUUAAUUUAAAUGAAACUAUGGAAUUGAACUAGUUAGGGUUAUGGAUCCACUCUUAGAAAUAAAUAAAACUUAAUAAAUUCUUUUUGCCAAUUUGUUUUAGAUUUAUUACUCAAAAGAUUAAUUAUACAAAUUAUUAUUAUUUUCCCUUUAAUUUUAUGAUGGAUUAAGUAUUUAUUGUGCCAAAAUUUAAUUUGUCUACAAUAAGUCAAAAUACCAUUUCACCAUGCCUUAUAUUAAGAUCUUAAGAAUUUAUUGUGCCAAAAUUCAUUUAUUUGUCUACAAUAAAUCAAAUUUUCAAAAUAUAAAACAUGUAUAAAAUUAAAUAGAAAAUAAUUUAAUUUAUAAAAUUAAACAUAGAAUUUGAUUAAAUCAUAUUUAUUUCUUAAGAGUUUCACCUUCCCCUAACUAAUAUUAUUUAGUUAAGCAUAAUUAAAAUAAAAAGAAGUAGUAAAAUUGAAUUACUUAUAAUUAAAAGAAAUAAAAACAACUAAAAUUGGAAAUAAAACUAAUUUUAUUAAUGAAAAUAAUUAUACAAAAUAUUAAAAACACACCUGGAAAUCAAGAUUACAAGGAGAUGGAGAGAAUUUGAGAAGAAGAGAGUUGUAGAGAGAUGAUUAAAACAUAAAAAUGAGGCCCUAUUUAUAGAAAAAAUAAAUUCAUAAUCCCGUGCUUUGCGGUCCAUCAUAGGCUUCAUGCAUGUGCUCCUCACAACCCUUAGAUCAAGAUCCAAUGGCUGGUCAAACUUCAAAAGUCAACAUCACACAUGGCAUCAUUUGACUCGUCCGAUUUACCCAAAGAACGGUUGAGAUUUGGCGGGUUAAUGGGUGGAUCGGGUCGACCCGAAUACAAAGAUUCGGAUCCUCCAACUUGCUUCACCAACCAUUGCCACGUGGCACAAUCAUGGCCAUUGAAUCAUGAACGGUUGAGAUUUGGUCAAGAUUGCCAGUUAUCCCAUGCACUCAUAUCUAUUGUAAGCUCAUUUCAUCAUCCAAUCAGUGCUCGGUCAACAGGAAAAGUCAACUUUUUUUACACAAGCCCAAUUUUAAGCCGAUCUUGACUGAUCUUAAGGUUUUCGGACCUCCGGAAUCCAAAUUUGACCUCCGUUUAUCUGUUUGGAGCCUCGAAGUACGUGAAAUUAAUAAUUUUCCUAAUAAACACAUAAAAAUACACAAAAUUAAAUAUAUUUAAAACAUAAUUAAUAAUUCAUAAUAUAUUACAUAAACACAAAUAUAAAUUAUAACAUAAGCAUAAAAUAACAUAUUAUCGCUUGAUAAUUAAACAAUUUUUAAUACUAAUCACUUCCUCUCUUACUAGAACAGAACUUGCGGCAUGAUCUGAUACCGCCAAAUAUAAGAACAACCUAUCCUCAUCUCUUGGUGUGGACAUCAGAGGUGUUUGCUGUAAGUAUUGCUUCAAGUUCUGGAAGGCUUCUUCACAUUCUGGGGUCCAUUCUGUUUUCUUUCCUCUCCUUAUCACUUGAAAGAAUGACUGACACUUAUCCGUAGCCUUGGAUAUGAAUCGGCUUAACGCCGCCAACCUCCCCGUAAGGCUCUGCGUCUCCUUCAGGUUAUGAGGAGACCUCAUCUGCACGAUAGGCUGAAUCUUCUUGGGAUUUACUUCAAUCCCCCUAUGACUCACCAUGAACCUAAGGAAUUUGCCCGACUCGACCCCAAAAGCACAUUUUUCCGGGUUGAGCUUCAUCUUAUACUUCCUCAGAAGUCCAAAUGUCUCAUCGAGAUGUUCGACAUGUUCCUUUGGGAUUUUUGACUUGGUUAUCAUGUCGUCUACAUACACCUCCAUUGUUCUCCCGAUCAGUGGCUUAAAGAUUUUGUUCACCAGCCUCUGGUACGUGGCCCCCGUAUUUUUAAGACUGAACGGCAUUACCCUGUAACAGAACAGACCCUGGUUAGUAAUAAAUGUCGUGCUCUCCUCAUCCUGCUCGAACAUGGGGAUUUGAUUGUAUCCCGAGAAUGCGUCCAUGAAGCUGAGCAGACCAUGUCCAGCUGUUGAGUCUGCAAGCUGGUCAAUCUUUGGUAAGGAAAAGCUGUCUUUCAGCCACGCCUUAUUGAGGUCCAUGAAAUCCACACACAUCCUCCACUUGCUAUUAGCUUUUUUUACUAGCACCACAUUCGAUAUCCACUCAGGAUAAUUGACUUCUCGAAUGAACCCUACUUUCAAGAGCUUCUCCACCUCGCUGUUUAUAGCCUCAUACCUCUCCUGGUUGAAGCACCUCUUUUUCUACCUUACUGCCCGAGCACCUUUCUUUAUUGCCAGCUUAUGACAUGCUACCUCAUGGUCGAUCCCUGACAUGUCUUCAUGUGUCCAAGCGAACACAUCUGCAUGAGCUCGCAUGCAUUGCACCAACUCUUGCUUCUGCUCUUCUUUAAGCUUCGACCCAAUUCGGAUCUUUUUUCCUGAAUCCUCUUGUCCCAGGCUUACUGUCUCAAGCUCCUCUACAGGUUCUUGUCUGUCAUUCUUGGCUCCCACUCGGGUAUCAAGGGAUAUUAUCUGCAUUGCUUCCCUUGCUGUCGAAGAGUAACAGCUUCGUGUGAUUCUCUGGUCGCCUCGUACCACUCCAACUACCUCAUUCACCCAGUACUUGAGAACUAGAUAAUGGUUGGACAGCACCACUUUGCUCAUCCUAAAAAAUGGUCGACCUAGGAUCAUCUGGUAAGGACCCUCCUCAUCAACCACCACAAAAUCCAGCAUCAUAGUUCUUUCUGUCGGAUAGUUACCAAUCGUGAUAGGCAGUUCAACCACGCCCAGAGGAACCAGCUUUCCUCCUCCAAAUCCUUUAAGGAGGUAUUGGUGUGCUCCAACCUCAAAUAUGAUAUUCUCAUCUCCUCCAGAGUUGACUUAAACAACACAUCAAUUGAGCUUCAUGUGUCAACCAGUAUCCGGUCAAACUUCUUGCUAGCAGCGGUGGCCUUGAUGACUAAGGCAUCCUCGUGUGGGCAUAGAAUCCAUUCUUCAUCCUCAUCUGUCCACAUGAUUGGCAUUUGCCUGACUCUUGCUCGUUUGGCUGCUGGGGUGUUGAAGAAUACAUCUUUACUAGUCAUGGCAUAUCUAGCAUAGUUCUUCCUCGACCUGUUGGAAUCUCCGGCCAACGUUGGACCCCCAUCAAUAACUCUUACUAUAGGCUGCUCGUGGCUCAAGUUCCUGUUACUCUGCUCCCCUUCACAUGCCAAGGCCAUCAUCGGAAAAGUUCUAUCUAUAAACUCGUCCAGGUAUCUAUUUCUCACCAAAUCUUCAACCUGGGUCUUGAGGUCUCUACAUUCUGUUGUGGUAUGGCCAUGAGUGUCAUGGAACUUGCAAUAGCGUCCCCUAUCCUUCCUGCCGGGUAGCUUUGUUAUUGGGGCCGGGAGGUACAGUAAUCCCCGGUCCUUUAUGGCUUCAUACACCUCGUCCAGGGACAUCUUCAAGAAAGUGUACCGCCCAUAGUCCUGUUUCUAGUCGAUCAUGUGCACUGUCCUUUCUCUAUUUGUGCCAUUCUGAGUUGGAGGUGGUGGCAGCGCUUCUGGUCUGCUCCCUCUACUACCAUGGGGGUGUGGGUGAAGGUGACCAUAUGCCGCGUCAUGCCUUCUCCAAGGCUCCCUAGCUGGUGAGCGAGGAGGUUGCGCUCUGCUGCGCUGAUACUGUGGUGGCCUCUGAUGAGGUUGGUAAGCGGUUACCCGACCUCCUGUACCACUACCUGAGGCAUGGUAGUCCCUCUUCUUAAUCGACCCAUUUCCUGGUACGGCCCUCUUCUCUUUCCUCUUUAAUCUUUCCAGUUGGUCUGUCUUAAUCCGUGCUGUUUUUUCCUCCUUGAUUUCUAUGUCUCUCUUAUCCUGCUCGUAAGCAGCUGAAUAUGUCUGAAUAGCUAGGCUUCUCAAGUUAUACCACAACCGUUCUAUCUUCACUCCUUAUUUCAAUCCCCUUAAUGCCUGAGGAUGGUUGAAGGCUCCCAAGUCGAAGAUAGCAAGGUGGAACCUUUUGAUGAAUUCCCGAAGGGUUUCCUCUUCUCUCUGCUUCAUGCUCGUCAGCUCCAUCAUAUCAUCUUCCGGUGCCAUUGCCCUACGAAACUGCUCUGCAAAUUCCUGGCACAUCUGCUCGAAGGUUUUAAUGCUCCCCCGAGGAAGUUUCUUGUACCACUCACGUGCUCGUCCCUCUAGAGAUAGUGGGAACACCCUACAUCUUUGGGCUUGAGAUAGUCCUUGCACUCCGGUUAUGUCGUUGAAGUGCUCUAUGUGCACCAACGGAUCAGUUCGCCCCGAAUAUCUGAGAUCUGGGAUGUGAAAAUCUCUUAGAAUGACUGCCCUUAUGAUCUCUGCCGAGAGCAGGGAUUCUCCGUCUAGUACUAUCCUCCAACCAGGUGCUCUGCUCCUUCCUUACAUAUCAUCAAUUACAUGCGCUAGUCUGUGCACUUCCUCCUCUAGCUGCACUGCACUACCAGGGUCACGUGCUGCAACUUGAUCCCGCUCUUGCUCUACAUCAUAUAAGUGUUGCCUGAGCUCUGUUUCCUCUGCAUUCACCACCCCGUCAUUCUCAUCAAAAAUCUGUCUUCCUGGGGAUUGCUCUUCUUCUCUAUGAAUUCCUCCAUGUAGAGAUAAGUUACCUCGCUCACCACCAAAUCUCCUGGUGGUCUGACUUCUCAUCAUACCGUCGUGCCCUGGUGCCACUCCGCCACCUCUCACCUUUUCCUCAUAGGUUCCCCUUCGUUCACCCCUCAGUUCAUAUAGGAUGGUUGUCAGGGUCUCCAUCUACUUUUCCAUCCGUUCCAUUCAGUCAUGCAUGGCUUUUUCCUGUGCUUCAAUGGCUAUCUCCCUCAACGUCACGGAUUCGUUAAGCCUCAUAUCACCUCCUUGUGCACUACUUCCUCCUACAUCCAUUGUUUCUUCUCUUGCUUUGCUUUUCCUUUCUCUGUCAACAGAAGUUUUUUUAUUAGCUCUCCACAGACGGCGCCAAAAUAUUGAUACGAGAUUCUGGUUACCCUUUUGACCACGACCAGGAUCUCUGCUCAAUCAACUCGACCACGAUCAGGAUAUCUCUUCGUAAGAAUUCUUCUCCAGAAGUUCCUGCGCACAUAGAAACAGGUCAGAGCACGCCGGUUGUUUUCCCGGCGUAAACCCUCCGACGCUCAAGUCAGAAAUGAAGGUUUUGUGUUCCUAGGAACGCUAGCCACAAAUCUUAUGGCUUCUUUCUUAUAUCAAUUCUUUAGAGCUCUUUUUAUCUCAGUUCUAAUGUCAAAAAAUCUAACCCUUUUACCUUCAUUGGCUGUCUUUUUAUAGGCUCCUCCUGAGUCCAGAUCUUCCCCUCCAUUCACGCCCGUUACUUUCCCACCUCUCGAAAGUGGAUGCUCCGUUUCCGUAAUCGUGGGUGGUUGCAUGGCCUUCGUGCCUUGAUUCUCGGGUUGGAGAGUACGUCUCGCCAACUGUCGUUGACUGGGUCUCCUCGCCUCAACCCUUAGCAGGAAUGACUUUAUGCUUCUAACAGGAGACCGGCUUCGCGGAUGGCGUAUUCGUGGAUGAGCAGAUAUUCCUGCUCCUGUUCCCCUGCUACCAAACUUCUGCAAGAUAUACCUAUUCGUGGAACCCUGCUACCAGACCUCUGCUCAUCACGACUGGUCUCGUCAAAGUACAUCCCCCAAACAUAUACUGCUGAAACAUAAAUUAAAAAAAAAAAAACACUCGAUGAGAUAACAAUACAAAGAAACAACUAAACCAAUUAUUUAGAAAAUCAUAUUUGCAUACCACAAACUAAUUUAAAGAUAACGUAUGAUAUAACAGCAGUAGCAGAAAUAAGGUUGAUACAAUAAUUAAUGAAGCUCUACGCUACACCAAUUAGUGGUACCAUACCAUGCAUGAUCCAUCACACAGAGGAAAAAAAAAAAGAUUUUAUUUAUCUUACUAUAUACGUAUUGCCAGCAGCGUGCAUGCUAGUACGGGGGAGUGGGAGGAUGAGGAGGGCGGUUCCAAGGUGGCGUUGGCCUGUAAGGAUCAUAGUUGUAAGGAGGUGCAGGACCGAGGGGCCCCGAGGCGCUGCAAAAGGAGGGGGUGGAGAGUUAUGGUGAUGGUACCGAGGAGGUGGUGGAGGAGGCAGAUGGAACAAUUCGGGGCGUGGUUGAAAUAUAAGUGUGCAACCCAAGAGGGGGGGUGAAUUGGAAUUUAAAAAAUUAUCCUAGCAAAUCCACACAACAAGCAAUCUAAUGUCUUAAUAAAAAUUGAAAACAAUAAAUUCAAUCAUGCACAAUAUUAAAAGAGUAAGGGAAGAGAAAACAAACACAAUGAUUUUUACGUGGUUCGGCAAUCCCCGCCUACGUCCACGCCUCCAAGCUCACCGGGCUUGAGGAUUUCACUAAGCUAGCCUCCCAAGGCUUCAAACGCUUACAAUUGACUUCCAAGGUGUCAAUGGACCUUUACAACAAGAGAUUAUCCCCAAUCUCUUAACACAAGUGUAUCCUAACACUUACAAUCUUUUAACUUGAUUUUACAAAAAAAGAUUACAAAUGAAUCUCUCUCACACAAUGUGUUUGAUCACAAGUAAAAGCUCAAUGUGUGAAUGAAUGAGAUGAAUACAAGAAUUUAAAGCUCAAUGAAAGUUGUAUUCUCAAUAUUUUGCUCAAUGAUGAUCGUUCGAAUUCAUCUUGUUUGAAUUGGAUUGAGCUUAUUUAUAGUUGGAGCUGAAAAACUAGCCGUUAUAGACUGUCUGCUCGAAAACGGUUCGCCGUUAACCAUUAACGGUUAACCGUUUAGGCCGGUCAAAGUUACCGUUGGGUCAAUUUUCAAAUAAACGGUUAGCCGUUUAGGAUUACCCUUUCGGCGUUAAUUUCCAGAGACCUGUAAAACAAAUUUGGUUAACCGUUCUUACUAAACAGUUCAAGGUUAGCAAUCUGGAAAUAAUCGGUUAACCGUUUUCAGUAAACGGUUCACCGUUAGUUUCCAGAAUCAUCAUUUUAACAAUACUUUGCAGAACAUGUUUUCUGGAAAUUAUCGGUUAGCCGUUUUAAAUAAACGGUUAGCCGUUUGCUACAGUGAUUGCUACAGUGAAAAUAUUUUCCAAAUUUACAGUUUGACCUCAAAACUUUAUAAAACUGUAUUACGGCCCAAAACGUUAUGAAACUUUGCACAUAUGUCCAAUUUCAGAAUUUCUAAAUAAUGCUUUGUUAAUCCUAAAACUUUCUGAAAUUAUGGUAUAGCCCAAAAUACUAUGACACUUUUCAAAUAAGUGCUUUACCAAGAUUUCAAGCAAUACAUGUUUAUUUCAAAGUUUUCAAAAUUCUUUCAAUUAAACCAUAAACUUUGAAAAACAACCAAUUUCAUAAAAUCAUUUUUCCAUUAAAUAUGAAACAUUUAUAAUGUGAAAAUAAUGAUUUAUUUAAAAAGAAUAAAAACAAUCAAUUUCAUAAAAUCAUUUUUCCAUUAAAUAUAAAACAUUUAUAAUGUGAAAAUAAUGAUUUAUUUAAAAAGAAUAUUAAAUAAUUUGAGCUUAAAAGAUUAAUCAUUCUUAAUCUUGUUUGUUAUCAUCAAAAUCAAUAUUAUGGAAACAUAUAUGUUAACAGUGGUGGCGGUGGUGGUGGAGGUGAAGGACCGUAAACGUGAGGUGGCGGUGGUGGGUGAGGAGCAUAUGGGUCUGCUACUGGUGGUGGUGGUGGUGGAGGACUUGGACCUGGACCUGGACGGUGGUGUCUAUGAAAUGCCAUGUUUUUGAAAGUUAGGUGAUCAAUACAAAGUGUUGUGCUGUUGUUUUUGUUUUAAGGGAUUUGGAGUUGUUCGUAUGUACACUAGAAAAAUGUAUUUCCUUUGACGGUUUGUUGGAUGACGUGCAGAUGUUUGUGCCUCGGCUUCCUCAGCCAAUCAGAAUUUUAUUUUUGUCAAAAUUCGUUUCGUCUCCUCAUAUACUCCGUUUCAAGAGUGCAUAAUAUUUUAUUGACUAUUAUUAUUAUUAUUAUUAUUAUUAUUAUUAUUAUUAUUAUUAUUAUUAUUAUUAUUAUUAUUGGUUUUGACUAUUUUAUGAUGUUUAGACUUUAGACUACAAGAUAUGAUGUCAAAAAUAGACCCAUGUAUAAUAAUAUUAUGUUGUUAUCUUUCAUUUUGAUAACAAAAUCUCUUCGUAUCAUCGCAGAUUAUUCAUUUUCAUUUUACGAAAAGUAAAAAAAAAAAAAAAGCAUGGUUGUAAAGAAACUGCACCAUUAAUUAAAUCGUGAAAAUAUUAUUAAUCAUUACUAUAUGAUUUUCUAACUUUCUAAUACCAGUAACCAUAUUAUAAUAUACUAACACACUUUUUUUUCAAUUACACCAAAUUAUUAUUAUUAUUUUCAUAAUAAAUUGAAGCUGUAAUAAUAUUUUUAGUGCCAUUCCAAUUUAUUCAAUAAAUAUAUAAUUUAUUAUUUUAUAAAAUAGGCGGCCUCUAACUCUAGUUGAAAAAAAAAAGGAAAAAAAAUUGAAUCGAGAACAUGUUUGAGAAUACAACAAAAAUUAUACCAUUCAAAGAAAAAUUAUAAAACCUAAGGGGUAUUAACAAAAAUUCCUUGGACUAGGCCAGGCAAUGUCUGCCACUGGUGGAAAGUAGAUAUUUAUUUGCAUUUGUGGUUGUAAUCGAAAAUGGUAGGGAUAGUGAAUCUUUUAGGUGUAUUUCUUACAGGUGUCGUAAUUUUGACAUCGACUAAAACUUGUUUAAAUUUUGACAUUUUUAUUAGUGCAUUGAAUGUAACGUGUUGCUAUUACGAUGUAGGGAUGGCAAUAGAGAGGGGAGGGGAGGGAACCAAUCUCCUCAUAUCCAUUCCCGAUAUUUUGUUAUGUUCUCGUUCCCUCCGCGUCCCUGUCAGAAUUACUUAAGAGAAUCUUUAUCCCCUCUCUGAAUAAUAACAGGGGAUCCCCGAGGGUCUCCGGUCCCCGAAUAACUAAUAGUCUAAUACAUUUUUUUUAUUUUUUAUUUUAAAUUAAUCAUAUUAAAAUAAAAAAUUCAGAUAAAAAUAAAGUUUAAAAUAUAUCUUGCAUUAAUAUUGAUCCAUUACAAAGUCACAUUCAAAAUAUAAAUUAUUAAAAUAAUUAUCUUUGUUAAUGACUCAAUCUUCAUAAUCCUACAAAAAAAAGAAAAAAAAAAUUUUAUAUCGGUAAUAAAAUAAAUGUAGAUACUUAAUUAAUAUUUUUAAUAAAACUAUUUACCUCCUGCUCCUCCUGUUCUUCCUCGAGAAAUGUGGCAAAUUGAGAGCUAGUCUCAUAUUUCAAACCUAAAACAAUGAAAAUGAUAUAAGUAACGUAACUUAUAAGUGCAAAUAUUAAUUACUGUAUAAUAUAAUUACAAUGUAAAAUAAACUCAUACUGCUAUUGUAAGCUCGUAACCAACUUUGACAGCACAUUAAGGCCUCCAAUGUGCUUGGAUGAAGUUUGUUACGGUGUGCACUCACAACUCUACCACCGGUGCUAAAAGUUGACUCAGAAGCAACUGUUGUAAUUGGAAUUGCCAAAAUAUCUCUAGCAAUUCGAGCUAAUGUAGGAUUCGAAUUAGGAUUCGAACUGUUGUAAAUUAUAAUUAGGCAGCUCUCUCCUGUAUCAUUGUGGUUUGGAUUAAAAAUUUAAGACUUUAAUUAGUUAAUUAAGUUUAAAAGUUUAAUAAUAUAACUAUUUUAAUAUUUAUUAUUUUUAACAAUAUUUAUAAUUUUGUUAUUUAUUUAUUAGUAAUUUUAAAAAUAAAAAUAAAAUUAAAAAUUAAAAUGGGGAAAUGGGUAGGGGAUGGGGAUUCCACCUCAUCCCCGUCCCCUCCCCGAAUAAAAAAUUGGGUAAAAAUUUUCCCCGUCCUCUCCCCGAAUAAAAAAUUAGGUAUAAAAUUAUCCUCGUACCCUCCCCGAAUGAGAAAAAUCCCCGAAAGUACCCGUCCCCGUAGGAAUUUUUGUCAUCCCUAUUACGAUGUCACGAAGUCAAGACUCUGUCCUGCUUUCUGCUUCGGCGUUUGUGAUUUGGCUUUGCCAACACCUUCUUCCCUUUCUAAUAUUGUAUUUCCUCCUAUGGUAGGGUGAAUAUUUACUAAUGCUGCAGUGCACACGUCACGAGAACUGGGCUUUCGGUUUGCACAGAUCGAACCCUGGGCUCUUGUUAAGUUUUAGCGCCCCCCCCCCCCCCCCCCCCCCCCCCAAAUACCAUCCAAACGGAUAAAUAACAACAAUGGAAAAUGGAAAAUUCUCAUAGCACCUCUUUUAAAUUUUUUUUUUUUUCCUAAAAAAUGAUGCUAUAAAAAAAAAACCAUAAUUUUUACUCUUCGAACCUAUCUUUAUAUUCAACGUAAUUUUAUUAAAUCCUAAACAUAUUCUCAAGCAAUGGAUUUUUGUAAUCAUGUUUGUUCUUUUGCUGGAAUUUAAAUUGCAAUGGCAGCUAGGGGUGGGCAAUUUAUUCGACCUGACCCAAUCCGAUUAAAAAAAAAUCAGGUUAGGAUCGGAUCAGAUGGAAGAUAAUAUCCGAACCGGUUGGCUAAAAAAAAAAACACACGCAAGACACUCAAACACCACCCACUCAUUCACACAGUCACACCACUCUCAGCCCACUCAAACUCAAACCUACAACAAUGAGCAGCCUACAGCCAACACUCUCGUCUCUCUCAACUCAACUUCACUACUUCAGUUCUCAUCUCGCUCUCGUCUCUCUCUCAAGUCUCAACUCUCGAGAUUCAAGAAAGAAAAUAGAACUGUGACAAACACACUCUAAAAUAUUUUGCAAAGAAAUAUCAAAUGGAUGAAAAGAUAUAAAUGAAGGAUUCCUAAACCAACAGAAGUGGCAGUGCCUUUCUUUAAGCGCAUUCUCAAUCUUGCACGAGUGACUGAUGUUACUUACAAGGAUGAUAAUGGCUACACCAAUUCUUAUGUGAUCAAAGACUAUAUCACCCACUGCUUGAGAAGCCUGUUCUCUUUUGAGUAGUUUUUGCGAUGCAGAUUACAUCCUAUAUAAACUAUUAAUGUUGUCUUUUGGAAUAAGCUCUGAAAUUUGUUCCUCAGAGAGCUUUUUUGCUGCUGUCAUCACAAUUAUCAAAUUCUUCCGUACAAUUAGUAAAGGCUUCCCUAUUUAUAUAUAUAUAAAUAAAAGAAAUCACCCAACAUCAGUGUUGUUUAACUGAAAAAGGAAAUUCAAGCAUCCAAAAUCAAAAUAUCCAAAAUGAAAAUAAGGUACCCAAUACUUGAAAGAAAGGGAUAUUCAAUACCCGUUUCAAAUCGUGCAUAAUCAUCUAGCAUGGCUCUCAUUGUCCCUCUGCAGCGCCGACUUUUUCCAUUAUUUUCUGCCCAUCUUCACCUUCGUCAUGAACCGAUCAAGACCGAAUGGAUCAGCUUCUUCAGCCUCCUUCUCAAACUUAACCGGUCCGUCCCUCGUACCAGACCUCUCAGAUGUACCUGCAAAUGCCUUGUCGGGUUUAAACCGAUCAGUCUUUCUAAUCUUCUCCAACUGCUCAUCCGCAUUUGCUCCAUAAAUUUCAGCAUCAACAUCUUUUUUGGGCCUGUAAAGGGUUGAAAGAGUCGGCUGUGCUGUAAACAAGCCUUUGUCAUACACAUUAUACUGAUCACCGUCAGUGGCAAAACCAGAGUCCAUUCCAUUCUUCUGAUUAAAAAGCCUUGCGUCAUAAGUAACCUCACCGGCUCUGCCUCCUCCACCAAUAGAGGCCAUCCCAAGGGCAACUUUCUCGCUAACAUCCCGAUCUCUGUCUCUAACAAUCUUACUAUUCUUCUUCCCCAUAGCAACAUCCUUGGCCAGCAAAUUUCUCUCCCUCUUCCUCUCGCGACGUCUCUCCUCACGAAUUCUCUCCCUCUCCCUUUCCCUCUCCCUCAGCAAUCCCUGCUCGCUUUCCUUCAAUGUCUCCAUUGCCUUACGUGCUAAAUCCCGUAGCUGCUGCUCUUUCCUUUCCUUCUCCUUCGUGAGCAUCUCCAUCUGCACCUUGAAUCUUAUUUCAAUUGCCUCCCUCGCCUUCUGCUCUGCCAAAUAAAGAGCCUCCGACAAUUUAGCAAAUCCCUCAUUUACCUGAACCUCCAGAAGCCCUCUUCCUUCGGCAGCGAGCUGCUUAUCCAGCGGAAUUGUAAACCGCUGUGGGUUCUUCCAAUUUGAUAUACAUGGUGGGAUUCUCCAAUCCAGCUGAUCUUUCACAGUCAUAGGCCUAGGAGGGGAAUGCAUGACCGGUACUGGCGGAGAUCCCGAAGCUUUCGGCACACGCUUGUGCUUCAACUUUGGUGGCUCAAGUGGGUCCAAAGGCAUCGCCACCACUCUCAAAAUCCUCCUUUUUAGGGAUGGCAAUGGAUUGAAUUUGAUCCAAGAUCCAUGUAAUUCAAAUUCAAUCGGAUCGAAUUUGGAUCGGUUUAAAAUAGAUUUGGAUCGAAUUUAGAUAUCGAUGUGCGAAUCUAAGACGGAUGUGGAGUAUAUAUGGAUCUAUCGUAAUAUUUAAAUCUAUAUCCAUAUCCACUCAUCUUUUAAUUUUAUUUUAUUUUAAAAAUUUCUUAAUAAUUGUGGAAUGAUAAUAUGAUAAUAAAUUUUAUUCAUAGCAUAUAUAGUAGUAUUUACCAUGUAUUUAAACUCUUUUUUUUUAGAAGAAUGUAUUUAAACUCUUAAAACUUAAAGGUUAGUUUUGUAAAUUUAAAGGUCAGCCAGCCUCAAAGCAUGUACAUGCAAUAUUCAAAUUGCAAUCCAAGUAAUAUAACCUGGUAAUUUAUUUUAUCAUAUUGGCCAAAUAAUUUUUAAGGAAUAUAAUUAUUCAUAUAUUUAGUCAAAUAUGGUCAUAAUAAAAAUAAUAAAGGACUGAAUAUAAAUCAUAUUUAAUUUAUAUGUCAUUAUUUAAUGUUGUAGGAAUGAGGGUAGGUGUAUCGUGGAUAUUAGAAUGAUGAAGGAGACAAUAGAAUAUUAGAUUGAUCUUACUCCUGUAAUUAUUUCUAAAUGAUAUUUUAUUAUCUUUCUUAUUUGUUGUUUUGGUAUAAAAGUAUAAGCUACAAUAUUUAUUAUAUUUUUGAGAAAAAUUAUAUAAUUUAUUUGUUAUCAAUACAUUUUAGCCUUCAAUUUUCAAUCUAAAAAAUUAUUACUUUUUUAUUACGGAAUUUUAGAAUUCAUGAUGGAUCUAGAACAGAUUUGGAUUUUAAUUUUUUUUCAGAUUUGGAGCGGAUAUAGAUAUUUAUUUCUUUUUUGGAUCUGGAUAUGGAGCGAAAAAUAUAAAUUCAUAACGGAUCUGGAGCAGAUACAGAUCUUGAUUUUUAUUAUGGAUUUGUAUCUGGAGCAGAUACGGAUCUUAAUUUUUAUUAUAAAUUUGAAUCUAAAACAUAAUAAAUCCAACACAUAUCUGCCCCAUUACCAUCCCUACUCCUUUUAUCCCCAGAAUAGAAGUCCACCGAUUACUGUAAUGGUCUGUACAUAAUAAAUUUGGACUCUAAUGACUGCGUAGGUGCAGCAUUCACAACACUGUUAACAAUCUUUUCAAGUUCAGCUUUUGUUACAGGAGUAGUCACGUCAAUCUCAUCUUCUUGAUCAGGAAAAGCGCUACCAUCAUCAUCAUCGAAAUCCUCAAGUUUCCGUGGAAGUAUCGCCAUGUUACAAAGAUUUCUUGCUUGUCAAUCAAGCCUGUGAUUAGUCCCAAGCAAUUUAAGGGUUCCUCAAGGGCUGAAAAAGAAUCUUGUGUUUUUUGUUAUCGUACACAACCAGCAAAUUUCUCUCCCAGUAGCGGCGCCUCCGUUUUAAGAUUUGCUAAUGCUAUGCUUGUUUGCUAACUUGUAGCGGAGGUAAUCUCACUAAUGCUAAAACUAGAUAUCCUGAUGUAAAAACUUUAAACACAAAAAAAGUGCUCGUUUUGAAAAAUUAUUUGAGAUUACAACCUUAUUUAUUAGUUUUAAUUAUUACUCAAAAAAGCUAUUACAAUAAUUGAAAUCCUAGUCAAAACUAAAAUAAUAAUAAAAACUAAUUAAUAUGGCAACAGAUAAGACAAAUCCUAAACAAAUUAGAAAUACCAAUUAAAAAGAGGAAAAUUUCGGAUUAGAACAAAAAGAAAGGGCAAUAAUCUUUAUCCGUAUCCGUAGAAAAUAAGGAAAAUUUUUUAUGUAGAUAAUAAAGACUUGCCCACGGUAGUGUCCUAAGAAAGUAAGGAAAACCAAUCUAUAUAAAGAGACUUGCCUGUGCUUGUCGAAAAGCACUAUACCUUCUUCUUUUAAUUAGCCUGCUAGCUAGCUCCUUAGUAAUCAGUCCCAAAUUUUCAGCUUUCUUAACUUCUUCUCCGUUACCUUAUUCAUCAUCUUCAUUAAAACAAGAAAACAGGAGAAAAAAAAUGCCUGGUGUUUCAGGAAUUGAUAAGGGUAAUGGCAGAGUGUACCCUGGAUACCUUACCCCAUUCGUCGCAAUCACAUGUAUCGUUGCUGUCAUGGGUGGCCUCAUCUUUGGUUACGACAUUGGGAUUUCUGGUAAAUAUAUUUAUACUUACAUACAUAUUAACUAGCUAAUUAAGUACUGUAGUAUUGUGAAUUAUGAGUUAUGCUGACGGUUUAAUCAAAAUAUUAACCUAGCUAACUGCAUAAAUAAUAUAACGCAGGUGGUGUGACCUCAAUGCCUUCGUUUUUGAAGAGUUUUUCCCAUCGGUGUACGAGAAGCAACAAGUAAACUCGUCAGCGAAUCAGUACUGUCAAUAUAACAGCGAGUCGUUGACUUUGUUCACGUCUUCGCUAUACUUGGCUGCUUUGAUAGCAUCGCUUGUAGCAUCAUCGGUGACAAGGAAAUUCGGAAGAAAGUGGUCCAUGUUAUUCGGUGGGGUUCUGUUUCUUGCUGGUGCAUUAAUCAAUGGCUUGGCCCAAGACGUUUGGAUGCUUAUUGUUGGCCGUCUUUUGCUCGGUUUCGGUAUCGGCUUCGCUAAUCAGUCUGUGCCACUCUACCUCUCUGAGAUGGCUCCCUCUAAAUACAGAGGAGCCUUGAACAUUGGGUUUCAAUUGUCAAUCACCGUUGGAAUUUUAGUGGCCAACCUGUUGAAUUUUUUCUUUGCUAAGAUUAAGGGUGGCUGGGGAUGGCGUUUGAGCUUAGGUGGUGCCAUGGUCCCUGCCCUUAUCAUCACCGUCGGUUCAGUUUUCCUCCCGGACACACCAAAUUCAAUGAUUGAACGCGGCCAGCACGAUGAAGCCAGAAAGCAACUUAGAAAAGUUCGCGGUGUUAAUGAUGUUGACGGAGAAUUUAAUGAUCUUGUUGCAGCCAGUGAAGCAUCCAAGCAAGUUGAACAUCCUUGGAGGAAUUUGUUGAGAAGGAAAUAUAGGCCUCACCUUACCAUGGCUGUUCUGAUUCCCUUCUUCCAGCAAUUCACUGGAAUUAAUGUUAUCAUGUUUUACGCUCCUGUUUUGUUCGACACAAUUGGUUUCGGCAAUGAUGCAUCACUCAUGUCCGCUGUGAUCACCGGUCUUGUCAAUGUUUCCGCAACAUUCGUAUCAAUUUGUACUGUCGACAAGUGGGGAAGAAGACGUCUUUUCCUUGAAGGUGGUGCUCAAAUGUUAAUCUGCCAGGCCGUUGUUGCUGCUUGCAUCGGUUAUAAAUUUGGAGUUGAUGGGAAUCCUGGAGAGUUGCCCAAGUGGUAUGCCUUUGUGGUCGUAAUUUUCAUCUGCAUAUACGUUGCCGCGUUUGCCUGGUCUUGGGGUCCCCUUGGAUGGUUAGUGCCCAGUGAAAUUUUCCCACUCGAAAUCCGGUCAGCAGCACAGAGCGUGAAUGUUUCUGUGAACAUGGCAUUCACAUUUUUGGUUGCACAAGUAUUCUUAAACAUGCUUUGCCAUCUCAAGUUUGGCCUGUUCAUUUUCUUCGCAUUCUUCGUCGUGCUGAUGACCAUUUUUAUCCACUUCUUCUUGCCCGAGACUAAAGGAAUUCCAAUCGAAGAAAUGGGUCAAGUGUGGAAGAAUCAUUGGUUCUGGUCCCGUUAUGUUGGCCAAGAUGAUUUCCUCGCCAAUGGAGGCCUGGAGAUGCACAAAGAAGAAACUGCUGUCAACAAUGUCUGAUCUGCAUGCUCAACUCCAUCCGGAUUUUUGUUUAGUUUCUAUUUUUAUUUUUUAUAUUUUUUAACAGUAAGUAGUAGUAGUACAGUUAUUCUGUCGGUUUAUUAUUCUAGCCUUAUCAAUGCCUUUUCUAUUCGACUUUAGUAGUGUUUAUUACAAUUUCUAAAGAAAUUAAUUUCAUGUAAGUUUUUACUUUAAUCAUUUUCCUUGUUUGGGUUCUCUGUUUUUCCUUUUUUUUUUUUUUUUUCAUCAGAAAUCGUCACUCUUACAAUUUGGACCAAGAAAUUCUUCACACAGGAAUCUGAAGAAAAAUUAACAAGGAUUGAAAAUUUUGACUUAUUGUUUAUCUUUUUUUUUUCUUUUCUCUUUUCCGUCUUCUCUUCUCAUUAAACAGACAUUAAGGCAAAAUUAGUAAAUUAUUUUAUUAUUGAUCUUAUCGUGAGUAGAAAAUCAUUGGUGCAAAUUCAAUUAUUUAGAUCAACAGAAAUUUUGGGAUAUGAAUCAAUGAGAAAAUUUUGAGUAUUCCUAAAAUAUUAUUCCUAUUUUAUCGGGAGUAGAAUAUGACCACCUUAUUUUAACUCAAGCUUUUUAUUUAAAAUUUUGACAUAAAUUCUCAUCUAUAAACUUUGUGGCAAAAUCUUAAGUUGAAAUAGGGAGAAAAAAAUCUAAAGAAUGUAUAAAAUUUGUAGAAAGAAAAGCCGCACGAGAGCACGUGAGAUAUGUCAAAAUCAAAAUUCAUCAAUACAUCAAAUUUCAUAUACAUGGCAACUUAAACUCGCACAGUUCAAUGGCAAAAUUUAACUUUUAUCAAAAAGUAACGUUGCAUCCUCAUUUUACCUUUAACUCUAAGAGGUGUUGCAAUGGCCAAAGUAGCCAGUCAAUCUUUCUUUUGACGUUAUUUAAUCAUUCUGUACAGCAGAACACCCAUCAACUACUCUCAUCCUGGCCAUAGCUGCCUGCAUUGAGGAGUUGCUAAAGUUUAACAAUGAAAAAUAAAGCAACGAAAAAAUAAAUUUAACUUGAAUUAAUCAAGAACCUGUUUUUUCCAGUUUGUGAAAGUUGUAGCAAGAGAAAGAAGGGUGGACUGCACAACAGAGCCAGCCACUAUUCCGAUCCAAAGCCCCUUUCCUCUUAAAUGUGCUACAAAACCCAACACGGCACCCACUGGCAACCCAACUAAAUAAAAUGCCCCAAGGUUUAUGUACACCCUAUAUGCUGCCAUCCACACCCUUUCGCAACCCUAUUGCAAACGUAGAAUCCACCUUUAUUAAGAAAUGAAAAUUUGAACCGCAUUUGAAUCCCAGAUGUUUUGUGGUUUGUGUAUUCAAGAGAUAAUUACCAACUGAUCUAGUCAACACCAACCUCUUGGAUGUAUACUUUAUAUGUGUGUGUCUAUAUAUAUAUAUAUAUAUAUAUAUAUAUAGCAUGUAUCUAUUUAACUAUUACGACAUUUACCAAAUGAUAUAUAAGUCAACAGUGACUCUUCAGUCUCCCAUAUUAUUAUCCAACAAAGACUUUAAUUGAAAGAAGUGUAAUUAGAAAGCAACUACUAACCAGAAAAAACAGCUUGUAAGCUGUCUGUAAUAACUGAGAGACAAAUCAGAGGAGCCAUAACAACAACAUAAUGCACAACUUGGUUGUCUUUGGUGUAAGCGUAACCCAAAAAAUAGCGGCAGCAGAAGAGGAUCGUGCCGACUAUCACUGCCUCUACCACAGCAUAACUUGUUGCAGCCCAUACAGCCACUCUAGCUGCUUGCAGAUUCCCAGCUCCAAGCUCAUUUGAAACUCGAGUACUAUACAUGACAUAUAUAUUAACAUGCACAUAGUCAAAUGCUAGCCUGCUCCAUUUGUAUUAUUUAAAAAAAAAUGCAAAUCGCAGGGAGCAACCAAAAGCAAGAAAAAAAAAGACCUUGCAGCUACUCCAAAAGCAUAUGGUAUUGUGAAGUGCAAUGUUGAAAUUGUAAGGCUGAUCAUAAAACAACAACGAUUAGAAGCAUAUACAGUUUAAUUCUAGGACAAUUUAUAAGUCAAAAUUAAAUAGUUAUAACUAAAAUAGGAGCUAAUUACCAAAUUGAAAGUACUGAAGUCUCCAGCUUGGGAUUCGGUAAAAGGCCGGAUAACAAAAUUAAGAUCUCCAUCGACCACCAUUUUAGACUAAUUAAUCACCAUAAUCGAUCACAAUAAGAGAGAGACUUUUGAGAUUAAAAGAGAAGAAACAACACAAAAAGCAAAAUUACCAUUCUAAGAGAUAAGAGGAAUAAUUACCAAACCAUUAUGGCAGAAGGUAUAGCCAAGCGAAAGAACUGUCCAAUGGCUAGUAAAGAUUCUUUAGAAACCGGCGCGCGAGUUUUCUCACAAGCUGAGGAGUACAUCAUGUACAAUCCGAGCAGUAUCACAUUCAACCAAGUUGAUAGACUGAAGGCUAGAGCUGCACCCAUGCUUCCUAAUUCUAGUUUGAACACAAGAGUCCAGCACGCAGGUAUAUGAAAACAUAGAAUUAGAAAAGAACUUGCAAACAUGGGAAGAAUCAAGCUCUGAGUCUGAAAGUAUCGGGUUAGUGGUUUCAGGAUUGCACUCCCGAAUAAUGCAGGGAUUAGCCACAUUGAAUACUUGCGUGCUUCGUGGGAGAUUACAGGAUCUUGGCCUAUUAGAGGUAACAAUUUGUCCAUAAAAAUCCACAACAGGCAAACUAGAGGGCAAACAAGAAUCAACGAAAUUAUGGCAGUGUAAGUAUGAACUCCAAGCUUCCGAAAUUGUGCUGCUCCAUAAGCUUGCCCACAUAGAGUUUCCAAUCCACCAGCCAUUCCUGACUGCUUGGCAAGUCCAAAUUAAAUUCAAUCAUUAAUCAUCAAAAUUAUCUCUAGGAUUAAUUAAACCUGAAGAUGAAGGUAAUGUGAGUAGAGAGCAGCAAACUUACUAGAAGACUAAAGCCGGUAACAUUUGUGAGAGAGGUGGCAAUGGCUACACUAGACAGGGCAAGCUGGCUUAGAUGUCCCACCAUUACCGUUGACACAACUUGCAGAAGGUACUGCAACACAGAGACUGCCACCAUUGGUGCCGCGAUACGGCCAGUCUUCUUCAGCUCUUCCAUAAUCCACCCCAUGUAAUUGCCCAUCUCUUCUCCUGGCUCUCUCCAAACUCCAUAUCCAUGCAAAUCGAUAAAUGAUAAUAAUGAUGGUAUCUUAGAUUGCUUUGCCACUAUUAAUAAAAAGAGCCAAUAUAUAAAGAAACACGAAGUUUGUAUGCUGUCCUCUGUUUUGGCUUUACUUGAGAAUUCUUUAUUAAUGAUUUUAUGUUUUGACUGUUCAAAAGAGCAUGCCGAGAGGUUCAAAUUAGUGGACUCUAAUUCCCAACUUUCUGUUGUUUAUAAUCAUUAUUAUACAUUCCCCACGAGCACGGCACAGACAUGAGUAAUGCUGUAAGGGUGCGUUUCGCACAUUGCAUUGUAUUAUGUUGUAUUGUAUUAUUUUAAUGUUGGUGUAUUAUAUUAUGCUGUAUUGUAUUAGCAUUGUAUUAUAAUAAUGUUAUAUAAUGUUUGGUGCUACACUGUACUGUAUUAUUUUUUUAAUUAAUUUAAAUUAAAUAUUAUAUUAUAUUAAUGUUUUAUAUUAUAUUAAUAUAUUUAAAUUGCAUUAAUAUUUUAUGUUAUUAUUUAUAUUAUUAUUAAUUUUAAAUUAAUAUUAUUCAAAUUUAUUCAUAUUUAAAUAUUUUUAUUAGUUAUAAUAAGUUAUAAAUUUAUUAAUAAAUUAUAAUGUAAAAAUAAAAAAUAUACUAUUAUUGAAUGAUAAAUUAUUAAUUUAUUAAUUUAUAUUAAUAAUUAUAAUGUAAAAAUAAAUAAAAUAAAAAUAUUAUAUUAAAUUAAAAACCAUAUUUAUUUAUUAUUUUAAUAUUAUAAUAAUAAUAAAGUGAAAAGCAAAAGUUAAAAGCAAAAUAAAAUUAAAAAAAAAAAAAAACAAAGCUAAUGCGUCAGUUGACGCAUUAGCCUCCCACCCCAAUCCCUUGUAAUUUUAUUCCAAACAUAGGUUUGGUAUUAUGUUAAUGUAAACAGUAUUAUAAUAUCCCCUUAAUACUACAAUCAAACACACCCUAAGAUAAUUGCUGGUGUUUAAUCGGUCAGAUUUUUCAUCUUUUCUUGAUCUUUUGAAAAAUCAUAAUAAUGAUUAUAAUAGAUCCCCAGACACGUAGAUGGGAUUGAGAUUUUGUCUGAUAUGGCUUGAUUUGAAGUAUUUUUUUAUAUCUGCAAUUCUGCAUAUAGUAAGUACAAUCAUAUCUUCUGAGUGAUAGACUUCAUUUUUGGCCGUUCUGAACAAAAACUAUGUUCAAUGACAGUACUGAACUCUAAAUUUCAGUGGAAUAUAAUAAAGGAGAGGAAUAAAAAAGCAUAUUGCAAAUUGGAUGUACUCUCUCACAUCUGAAUCAUUUAAUAAUGCUUUUGGAAGCACAUUUUUGACUAGUUACUACAUUAUAUCAGCUUAGAAGAAACAGAUGCGAUUCCCCUACCCCUAGUGGCUUUCAAAUUGCAAUCAGUUGUACGCAAGCGAUUCCUAAACAGAUGAGAAGAAAUAAAAAAUAAAAAAAAAUAAAAAAAAUAAAAACAAUUCUGAUGUUUUCAGGAGUCAGUAGAUGCUGUUGAAAUACAUAUUUUUCACUGUCCUCCCCUUGACUAUGUUAGACUUUAUGUCUAAAUUCGCACUUGUCUCCCAAGAUUUUGAUGGACUGUUAACAUGGAUGACUAAAUGAAUAGAAAUACAUAGACGCCCCUGAUUUGAAGCAAAAUCACCAUGCCAGGAAACGAAACAGCUCGUGUAUAAAGAGAUGACAGUGUUAAUUUCGACAAAAAGAAACUGUGGGUUGGACAAAAUCCAUGAGAGGAUAGUGAAAAAUAUAUAUUUUGAUACAAUGUAUAUAGUAUAUCAUUUCAAAACUCAAAAGUCGUUUCGUUCUUUAAAAAAAUUCCACUGCUUUAAAAUUAAAAAUCACAUUUAUAAUUAAUUUUUUUAUCAAGUUCUAAAUCCUUUUAUUUUGUCAACAUCCUAAAAUUAUAAUAAGAAUUAACUAUGCUUUGAUUGAUAAAACUAAUGGGGAUUUCGUUCUUAUUUGAUAAAAUCAAUAGUCAUUUCGUUCUUAUUUAAUGUGUUUCCAACUUGUGAGCAAUGGGAGGUAGAAGGCAAACUUGUCCACUUUCAAUUCCCAAACUCAUAAGAAUCAGACCUUUUUUUUUUCAAAUGAUCAAAUAAAUACAAUUGGCUACUUUGACAGACAGGAACAAUACAAGUGUCUUAACAUGUCGAUCAAAUGGCCAAAAGUAAGACGCAAUCCCUAAGUCUAACUUACAAUUGCUAAAAAUAACGUAAAAAUGGACCAGUAUCAUCAUUUUACCUCGUCUUUAAUGGUUGUCAGUUACACUAAAUAUAUUUUAAGGAGACAAUAAUAAUAAUAAUAAUAAUAAUAAUAAUAAUAAUAAUAACAAUUUGAGUAGAAAUUAUCACGAACAUAUUCCUGCAUAUCUUAACAUCUUCAAAGAUAUGUGACUUAUUGAUGUGACGCUCCAUUUUAUCAAACAGUUGCAUCAGAAAAUUCUGAAGGGACUACAAAUGCCUUUUGAUGCAUAGAAGAUUUACAUUACUGACAAACCAAGGACAAAGCAGAAAGAAGCAAGUUUCGAUUUUUUUCUCAGCCAAAAAUCAAGUUCUUCCAUUAUCUUCUGUCUACUUCUUCCCCUAUUAACUCCAAUUUUUGCUCAGACCCUUGGUUUUGGAAUUGGGCAAGUAAUUGGAGGAGUCAAAGAGAAAGAAAGUAAACAAAAUAUAAAUAUAUAUAUCAGCAACUCCCUAGAUCUAAUCUGCUUCUGGCUCAGUUAGGUGAUCAGUCAUUAAGAUCUAUUGCCUCUCCACCUUCUUACUAGUACUCCCAGCCCUUUAGAGCAAAUUAUUAAACCAACCCUCGGAAAGUUCAGACACAUCCUUUGUAUUCCAACUGUGCAAGUGUAAUGUUAACCUAAGGUUCUCUUUCUUUUCAUUUGUAUGCUUGAAGAAAAAUCAACAAGAAAAUGCAAUACCAGCAGGUAUUAUUUGUAAUUCAUAUGGAAAUUAUCAUUAACAUAUGCCUACAUAUCGAAAUCUUCAAAAGGUUGUCAGAGUUUAUCCGCAGCAAUCCAAUCUAUUUUAUCAAAGACAGAAAAACUUAUGUUCAAGCAGAACAAUCAAAAGGGAAAGUAAAUGCCCGAAUUUUGAGCUAGCACCAAUAAAUUGAAGAUGUACAUUAUUGACAAGCCUAGAACAAUAUCAGCUUGAAAAGAAGCAGAUAAAAGCACAUAUUUAGACAAGAGAAACUUACAAACUACCUCAGUUUUUGUGCUGCAGUUGGGACACCAGAUGAACUCAAGUUGGCCCUUUCUGAAUCGUUUGCUGCACGAAAGCCAGCUGUAAUAAAUGUUACUAUUGAUCCCUAUGCCAGUACAAACUACCUCAGUUUUUGUGCUGCAUCCUACCACUUUCUGCACCGGCAUAGGGUUCAAUAAUAACAUUUAUUAAAGCUGGCUUUCGUGCAGCAAACGAUUCAGAAAGGGCCGACUUGAGUUCAUCUGGUGUCCCAACUAAAUAUCCUUUUCCCCCAAAAGCUUCCAUGAGCUUAUGAUAAGCUGCACCAGGUACAAAAGAAGUAGGUGCAGGAUCAUCUUUGAAAGGCCCUGCAAUUUCUUCAGGGUUUCUGCGAUCUCCACCAUACACACCACCAUUAUUAAAAACUAUCACGACAACAGGCAACUGAUAUCGAACCAAUGUCUGCAAAAUCAGAAGAAACAGAGACCACAUUAGUCUCUUUUUCCUCUCCCACCUUUUUCCAUUUAUUGGAUGAGGAUAUGCUAUACGUAUGAAUCAACUUUGGACUUAGACAAAGUAAAAUUCAUUUAUUCCAUUAAUUGAUUAACAUUGACACACUAUCUUCUAAAAGUUCCUAAAGUUAAUCAAUCUU
rnacentral:lncRNA from 1 species